rnacentral:lncRNA from 1 species
GUGGUUUCUCUCCCUUGGGAGGUUUACCAAUUGGGGUUGGUGGCUUGUGUUCUGGGAGUGGUUUCUCUCCCUUGGGAGGUUUAGUGGGUGACUUGUGUUCUGGAGGUGGCUUCUCCACCGAAGGCUUGUGCUCCGGUGGUGGCUUUUUGGUUGGAGGGGGCUUGGGGUAAUCAGCAAGAGAUGGGGUGGUGAGAACCACCAGUCCAAGGAACAACACUAGCAAGUAUGUGGGAGACAUUUUUGAGUUUGGGCUGAUCAGAUGAUGCAAAACUAAAGCAUUACGUGACCUUUUAUAGCAAGUAGCUCCCAAUACCUACUUGACACGUGUUACUGUGACCCAUAAAUAUUAUGGGGUCUAUUUGUGCCCUACCGGGUUGAAAACUUGGACAAUUGGGCAAGGACCCGCCUGACUAUGGAGGACUACUGAGGUGUGAUCACAGCUUUAGGAUUUUUCUUCCUCUGCAGCCGUCUUGCCGUUGGCAUGAUUUUCUUAAUCUCAAAUAAAGGCAUAGUUAUAGAGUUGUUUAAUCUCUAAAUGGGAUUUUAUAUAUCUUCAGAUAGCCAUUAAUACAUUUGAUGAAGAAAGAAAGACAAGUGCAUACAACAUGUAUACGACUAGCUUUCAUGGAGUUCAUUUAUGAUCAGUUUUCCUGUACAUGUAAACCAAGAUCAUAUAUGUUUUUGUUCCACAACAAUUUUGGAAUCUUGUUUAUCCGUUUUUAUCAUUAUAAUGUCACAUAGGCUGCCAACUUGGGCGCUAAAUUAAAGAUCCAGUUGGGCAAGUUCGUUUCAGAAUUUCAAUGGUGGAUUCAGGAAUUGUUUUAUAAGAUAUGCAAAAUAGUAGAGGGAUGAAUAGUGUUUCAUUAAGAAAAGAGCCCUGUAAAAAUAUUGUUUAAAGGUGCCAUAGAAACUAUAAUCAAUAAAUAACUUUUUUUCCCCAUGGGUGGUGUUUCUUGUGGGGAUCAGUGACUGGUUUGAGUCAACGCCGUGUCUCUUUAGUCCAGAAAUCAACUAUUUUAUGCAUUGAAUACAUCAACAAAGAAAAUAUGAAAGCCAAAUGACACCUCCCCCGCAAAAACUAAACCCUGGUUGCUAACUUUCUAUGUUUCAGUUCCAUUCACACAAGAAUAUUAGUUCAAGUUUGAGAAAAAUGGCGACUUACCUAGUGAUAACUCGGUCUUGGUUUGCGAUUUGACUUUAACGUCAUGGGUUGAAGCCUCCUACAAUCAUCGUGUAUGCUAGUUCAAAGCUCGUGGAAGAAGUUAUACAGGGAGGGAGAAACCUCCACAGCAAGCUCCAAAAGAGAAUUAUCACAUUGAAAGCUCCAGUUGAACACUGGGUGAAAGCCAUAACAAGAUUGGUUUUCUAUCGCUCUUUUAAGUAAUGGAAGAUUAUUAUCUCUGCUUGUCACUACAACCGUGCAUGCUGCUAGAUCUUUCUAGACACUUCAAACAGUGAAACCAAGUAUGAUUCUUUUUCUCUUGAGUGGGUCCACUUGCAUGCCAAUGAACGAGUUGAAAAGUUGGACAAUUGGCCACAGCGCGCACUUACCUUCUGGAACCGAAGGUCAGUGAAGUGGGGUUCCUUUUGGCCCCUUGUGUUUCUGUUCCAACCUACUCCAGGAACCGAAGUUCAGUGAAGUGGGGCUACUUUUGGCCUCUUGUGUUUCUGUUCCAACCAAACAAAAAUGGGAGGGAAAAAUAGCAUUAUGCUUGUGCUAAAGAUCAACGCAUGAUAGCUGAAUAAGGGAGAAAAAGGCAUUGCUAUCUCAAUUUCAUAAACUUGAUAAGUAGUGACAUUAAUAGUCUUCCUCAUAGAUGGAUACAUGGUUUUAUUUUAUUUAUUUAUUUUUAUUUUUUUGUUUUAUGUCAAUGCUAAUGAAUGAAGUGCAUUAGCUUGUUUUGUGACUAGAACUACAAAUGUCCAAAUUGGAGCUUCUCCAAUAUAUUUCUCAGUGAGUUAUUGAUUAGAACUCUUGGAUUGAGUUCCAAGAUUUGAAUCAGACCCCUCUAGCAGCUUCAGGGGUACGUAGCAACCUAUAGCAUAUUAAUGAAGACUUAGGAUUUAGACUUAGGAAUACAAAUUAAUAUGUACCUCAUGCUCUGACUAGCUUCCCUGCGUAUGCACAAAAUGGAGAUGACUCCCAAAAAAAUAGCAGAAUCGCCUUAGUAUGUUUUUGUGGUUAAGAUGAUUCUCCACUUUAUAUAUCCACAUUGGUUCAUUAUGCAAAUUAAUCAACUAAGCUAUUUUUAUUUUUUCUUAAAUGUGAAAUAGGAGCUCCAAAUUAACCUAACCAUUGGCCUGAUUGAAUUGAUUUCACUUGCAUAAUGUUAUAGUAGAAGUCCGUAAUUUGAAUUUUAUUUUUGCAAAAGGUAACGUAAAUGAAGCAUUGUAAUUAAAUUUAUUUGUAAUUACAAACUAAUUUUAUUUUAUUAAGAAUUAAUUUAAUUACUCAUUUAAAAUAAAAAUCAGUUAUACUUUUACCAAGAUGAUAAUAUUCAUAUUUUUCUAGUUAACAUAUAUAAAAUAGUACACUUUUUCAUAUAAAAAAAUAAUUUAUGAUUUAUUAUAAUGUUACUAUUCACAUUUUACUAAAUUGAUGGUACAUGAUAGUGAGAGAAGGGGGUGUCACACUCAGCUAAAGUUCUUUUCAAAAUAUUGCAUGGUGUUUAAUUUUAUGUGUCGGCGCGCGUGUGAAUGGAACCUGCAAAAGUCCAAAUUGGCGUUUCUCCAUUUUCCACAUAGGAUGGUGACGUUAAUAGACAAAGAUACAAUAUCUGUAGACAUUGCUUAAAAAUCGAUGUGAAGUAUUAGAAAUUACAGGGCACUGUACUGGGGGAGCGGCUGCCCCGCCAAAGGAGGAAGAAUGUAGCAAUUUCUUCUGUUAGCCAGGCCUUAGGAUUUAUGCAUGGGAUGCCUAAUAACAAACAGAGAAAAUAUACUUUUGGGGAAGGUAUCCAACAACAGACACCAUCAUUCAGAUGGUGGGAAGGUAUCCAACAGAUGCCAUCAUUCAGAUGGUAACAUAUAUAUACAUUUAUUAGUGAGUUUUUUUAAUACCUAUAAAAAAAAAUAUACACUUUGAUAUUGUGGCUGAAUCCAUUACAUACUCAACUAACCUUGCUCAUUAGGGAUUUGACUUAACAAGGGCAACGUUGCAGUACAAGCUCAAAACUUUAUGCAGGUGACAUUACAUUUGGUAAAGAAGAGGAAAAUAACGAAAGCCAUCCAUAAAAGCAAAAUUCCACAUGGGAUGAAAUUCACAAGCUUCAUUUACGAUAGAGUCGCAUCCAGGCAAUUAAUUCCACAUUAGACCGCCUGUUGACAUGUGUACCAAUCUUUUUUCAAAAAAUAUUUAUAAAUAAUUGAUACUCACAAAAAUAAUUUAAUAUUUAUAAAGGAUAAAAAAAUAUUUUCAAAUCUAUAACAAUUUAUAAAAUAUUAAUAAAAAAUUAUCUCUUAAACUUAGUAUAGUUUUAUCAGAUUAAACUUUUAUUUUGAACAAAUAAUUUUAAUCUAAGUUUUAAAUUCUAAAAUUAUUUCCUUAAAAUAAAAUUUUAAAAUUCAACACUUCAAUUGAAAUUGUCUUUUUAAAAAAUAUCUUCUUAUUUUAAUCCUUAUAAACUAUAGUUGAUUGAAAAUACUAUUGAAGUUCUCUCUUAAAAAAAAGUCUUAUUUUAAUCUUCAUAAAUUGCCCUUGAUUUGAAAAUAAAUUUUCAGUUAUCAUAUUUUAAAUAAUAUCUAUAUUUAAAAUACUCUAUUUAAAAAAAAAUGAACUAAUUUUAAUUAUAUUAUAUUUUAUUUUUUUAUAUAUUUUUAAUGAUAAACCAAACAUAGAAAAUCAUUUUUCUAAAUAUUUUAAAAUUUCUAAGCAACCAAACAUAAUCUUCAAAAUAAAAGGAAAAUAAGGAGGGACAUUUGAGAAAUGGCGAUUAAAAAAAAGUGUACAAAAGCUCAAUUAAUUUUCUUCUAGUCUUUUAUAUAAAAAAGUAAAGGAAUUGAAAAGUAUUGAUAUGUAAAUUAAUAUUUGGAUUUUAAUAGUAUUUUAUUUGUCUUUCUCUAUCUCAUGUAAAAGAGAAUUUAAGAUAUUUCCUAAAGCAAAGCAUUAGUUAUCUGCAAUCAGUGGUGAUCAUGCCCCAUGUCAAUUUCGGACCCAUAUCUUAAAACUGUAUAAUUUGCAUUCAAACAUUACUGAUUUCUCAGAUGUUUCAUACUCCACAGAAGAGCAUUGUUUGUGAAAGCAUGCAUUUAUGUUGGAUUUUGGAUGAUGUGGGAACUGGGGCAAGGAUCAUAUGGAAGAGUGGUCGAUUUUGUUCUGUACUUUAACAUUUGAAAUAGGAGAAGCUCGGGCAUUUGUGGGGCUUAAUUGAUUUUGAAGCCUGAAAUUGCGUUUCUGUCAUUUUGUAAAAAAUAUGGCAGAUUCCAUGCUCUCAUAUGUUUGGUCUGUGGCCAUGUAUAGAUGCCCCUUAGUGACCAGUUUGUAACUGUCAAUCAUAGUGUUUUGACUCUGGCUCAACAACAUCAGCCAUUGACGGAUUUUCAUACUUGCAAAUCAAAUAGUCUUCUUCCUCCCUUAGGAAUUUCGGUUUAAAUGUUAUUAAGCAUACAUUUGGCUGACAAUUAUUAACCACUUCAUGAUAUGGUUUCUUACCCUUAAUCAAUGGUUUCUAAGUGAAUAUAUGCAGAAGGAAAUCUGAACUGUAGACAGCAGUAUUGAUAACUCUCAAUAUUCUUUAUAUAAGAGAAUAAACAACGUCAUAGUGAUCGUCGCCUACAAGAAAGGUACAUUUCCCAACAAGAUGUAGUUGUGACUGGUACAUGGACGCAAUUAACUCGUACAAAAGAAUAAGACCAGUGCACGGCAGCUCUUAUUUUACAUGCUAAUUAUGCUAACCAAAGUCACUCAGUUGGGAUGGGAGGGAGAUGGAGGUUUGUGCGGUGGCUUGUGGGGCGGAGUUGGUGGCUUCUUUUCAGGAGCUUGUGGCUUUUUCGGAGCUGAAGGAGGCUCAAUCUUAUGAGGCGGCUUGUACGAGUCUUCUUUACUCUCGACAGGAGGGUGGCCAGGGUUGUGACCAUAAUGUGGUGGCUUCUCUCCCUUAGGUGGCUUGCCAACUGGGGUUGGUGGCUUGUGUUCAGGAAGUGGUUUCUCUCCCUUGGGAGGUUUACCAAUUGGGGUUGGUGGCUUGUGUUCUGGGAGUGGUUUCUCUCCCUUGGGAGGUUUAGUGGGUGACUUGUGUUCUGGAGGUGGCUUCUCCACCGGAGGCUUGUGCUCCGGUGGUGGCUUCUCCACCGGAGGCUUGUGCUCCGGUGGUGGCUUCUUGAUUGGAGGGGGCUUGGGGUAAUCAGCAAGAGAUGGGAUGGUGAGAACCACCACUCCAAGGAACAACACUAGCAAGUAUGUGGGAGACAUUUCUGAGUUUGAGCUGAUCAGAUGAUGCAAAACUAGAAGAAUUACGGGACCUUUUAUAGCAAGUAUCUCCCAAUACCCACAUGACACGUGUUACUAUGACCAUAAAUAUUAUAGGGUCCAUUUGUGCCCUACCGGGUUGAAAACUUGGACGCUUGGCCGAGGACACACCUGACUAUGGAGGACUAUUGACGUGUGAUCACAGCUUUUGGAUUUUUCUUCCUGUGCAGCUGUCUAGCGGUUGGCAUUAUUUUCUUAAUCUUAAAUAAAGGCAUAGUUAUAGAGUUGUUUAAUCUCUAAAUGGGAUUUUAUAUAUCUUCAGAUAGCCAUUAAUAUAUUUGAUGAAGAAAGACAAGUGCAUACAACAUGUAUACGGCUUGCUUCAAUCGAGUACAUUUAUGAUCAGUUUUCCUGUGCAAGUAAACCAGUUUUUUGUUCCACAACUAUUUUGGAAUCUUGUUUAUCAGUUUCUAUCAUUAUAAUGUCACAUAGGCUGCAAACUUGGGCACCCAAAGAUCUAGGUGGGCAAAUUUGUUUCAGACUUUCAAUGGUGGAUUCAGUAAUUGUUAAAAGGUGUUUCUUCAUUAAGGAAAGAGUCCGGUAAAAAUAUUGUUAAAAGGUGUCAUAGAAACUAUAAUAAAUAAAUAACUUCUUUUCCCCAUGGGUGGUGUUUCUUCUGGGGAUCAGUGACUGGUUAGGGUCACCCAAAAUGAGUCCAGAUUAAAAUUGGUUCGAGUCAAAGCAGUCUCUUUUGUCCAGAAAUCAACUAUUUUGCGCAUUGAAUGAAUCGAUAAAGAAAAAAUGAAAGCCAAAUCACACCUCCCCUGCAAAACCUAAACCCCGGUUGCUAACUUUCUAUGUUUCAGUCCUAUUCAUAUAGGAAUAUUGGUUCAAGUUUGAGAAAAAUGGCAACUUACCUAGGGUUUACUUGGUUUUGGUUUGCGACUAUUUACGCAACCAACCAUGAGUUUGACUUUAACGUCAUGGGUUGAAGCCUCCUACAAUCAUGUAUGAUAGUUCAAAGCUCGUGGAAGAAAUUAUACAGGAAGGAAGAAACCUCCAAAGCUAGCUCCAAAAGAGAAUUAUCACAUCGAUAGCUCCAGAGAUUCCCAAGGGAACUGAAUCAAAGACAAGUUCCUCACUUUUUCUUCUUUUGAGGCCAAAUAUGAACCAAGGAUCACACGACCUCAUUCAACUUCAUAAGUUUGAUUUCAUGCAGUUGAACACUGGGUGAAGGCCAUGACAAGAAUUGAUUAAAAAAUUCUACCACUCUUUUAAGUAAUGGAAGAUUAUUAUCUCUGAUUGGCACCACAACAGCACAUGCUGCUAGAUCUUUCUAGACACUCCAUGCAAUGAAAGCACAAUGGAUCUUGUAAUGAUAGAAACUAAGCCAUGCUACAGUACUAGAUGAGGGGGUAAAACUAGUAGACAUCUUUCUAGACACUCCAUGCAAUGAAAGCACAAUGGAUCUUGUAAUGAUAGAAACUAAGCCAUGCUACAGUACUAGAUGAGGUGGUAAAACUAGUAGACAUGGCUGGCAGUUGAUUACUACUCAAAAAGUACUCUUUUAUAGCUUGAAACUAACUGUUUUAAACACUUUUGAGUAGUAGUUAAUACCUUUUAACUUAAUUGGCACAUUAAGGAACCUAGCAAGGGUUACUAAUCAACAUUUGGCAAGUUUUGAUGUUUUUGGUAGCUAUUUGAUCAUUGAAACAAGCCAAGAAUGAGGGGGAAUUUUGUGAAGUCCAUGGCAAUGCAAGUUAAAGCUCAAAUACAUGAAGAAUCCAAGCUUUGGAGCACUUCAUAGCCCUUUGCCAAGCCAAUCAAAGAUGCAAGGAAGAAAACCAAAGGAAGAAAUCCAACAAUCAGCAUUUUGGCAUGGCUAUGUGAAAUUUCGCACACCAUGCGAAACCACAAGAGGCAGCCAAAGAAUUUCGCAUGGUAUGCGAAAUCUUCUUGUGCACUGACUCUGUUAGAUUUUUAUCUUCAGAUAUUUUGUGUAAUUUCCUAGUUUCUCCUUGUAACCAACUUAGAUAUUUUCUUUUAUAUCUUUUUUUAUAUUUUUUAGGUAACAUCAUAUAUAAGAGGAGAGACAUAAGGAGGAUAUGGAUGUUUUUCAUAGAACACUUGUAAAUUUUUGGUAGUAAGAAAUAUACAAAGCUUUUUGCUCUGCCUUACCUUCUCAAGGGAUGAGUGGCUAGGUUUUCUUGGAGUGAGGGAAGCUAGGUGAAGGACCUGAAUGCAAAGGUGGGAGUUUUCCUUACUUUAAAUGAAAGUAGUUGUUAAACAUUAAUGGUUUUUAUUUUAAGGUUUAGCUUUAAAUCCCUGAAAAACACCUUGAAUGGCCAAUACUUGGUAAGCUUUUUAGAUUCUAUGGAUGCUUAUUGCUAGAUCCAUGGAUGUCUAUUAGUUAUCAUUUACGAGCCAUUGGAAGGUGAUUCAAGGUGAGGGUCUUUAGUGUUUGAAGCCAUUAAUGGGAAGCAAUUACCAUUUUUUCAUGAAUCCUUUGGAUCAAAUCUUAAUUGCUAAAUAUAAAACCGGUUUCGAGAGAUAACCACCAUCCUUUAUGUUAUUAUCCCCAACGCGAGGAGAAGAUCCGAAAUCUUCCUUUUUAUCUAAGGAACCCGAUCCUAGUGACCUAAAGCUCCAAGAUACCUUUUCUUUGUAGUUAACUUCAUUUAUUGUUUUUGCUUAACUUAAAAUCAAUCUUUGCAACCACAAUUCCAUUUUCUUUAAAAGCUAAUUUUUAUAAGGAAAAACACCAUUUUAUUUCCUUCACUAAGUCAACUGUACGAUGAAAACCCAUCCCUGUGGACGAUCCUAGAGCCACUAUACUAUGUUAGCUAUGCUACCCUAGUGUGAGGUGAUUUAGGUUUUAUAAAUUUUUUUGAUAACACCCAUCUGAGCCAGAAUCAAAUGGCACGACUGAACCAGGGACGAAUCAAAUGACGCCGCUACCAAGGAUGGUGCCAAAGUACAUUGACAUGACUUUUGGUGAACACUUGUGAUCUUCACCACAAGUUUGGUGAUUUUUCUUUUACUAAUUUUUUUUAUUUUAGCUUAUCUUUUAUUUAGUUUUUAGUUAACCUUAAAUUUUUCCUAGAAUUGUAUUUCUUUUGUUUUCUUUGUUUUUGUUUCAGUGAUCUUUAGUUGUGCAUGCCCUAUUGGAUAAGAGAUAUUGAGGGAAUACUUGUGAAGAUUGAAACUCCUCGAGAAACUGAGUUAGAAGUGUGCUUGAACAUCAUGGAUGUUCCACCUGAAGACCAGAAUAGCCAACAUGGUUAAGAGGAUAAUUUCAACACAUACCGAUCCAUGAGGAACCGCAUACAUCCACCUUGUAUGAGUGCACCGUCAGGCAUAAUGCCUCCCACUGAGCAGCUAGUAAUCUGACCUCACAUUGUGCCACUCCUACCUACUUUCCAUGGGAUGGAGAGUGAGAAUCCCUACUCGCAUAUUAAGGAAUUCGAGGAGGUUUGUAAUACAUUCCAAGAAGGAGGAGCUUCAAUUGACUUGAUGAGGCUCAAGCUAUUUCCUUUCACUUUGAAGGAUAAGGCCAAGAUUUGGCUUAAUUCUUUAAGGCCAAGAAGUAUCCAAACUUGGAUUGAUUUGUAAGCCGAGUUUCUUAAGAAGUUCUUCCCUACCCAUAGGACCAAUGGUUUGAAAAGGCAAAAUUUGAACUUCUCAGUUAAAGAGAAUGAGAAAUUCUAUGAGUGUUGGGAGAGCUACAUGGAAGCUAUUAACGUUUGUCCUCACCAUGGCUUUGACACAUGGCUCUUAGUGAGCUAUUUUUACAAUGGUAUGUCUUCUUCAAUGAAGCAACUCCUAGAAACUAUGUGUGGAGGAGACUUCAUGAGUAAGAAUCCGGAGGAAGCCAUGGACUUUUUGAGUUAUGUGGCUGAAGUUUCAAGAGGAUGGGAUGAACCAAAUGCUAGAGAGGUGGGAAGAAUGAAGUCUCAACCUAAUGCUAAGGGUGAGAUGUAUGUUUUGAAUGAAGACAUUGACAUGAAAGCAAAGGUUGCAGCUAUGGCAAGGAGAUUGGAAGAGCUAGAAAUGAAGAACAUACAAAAAGUGCAAGCCAUUUCUGAGACAUCAAUGAAAGCUAUGCCUUGUUCCAUUUGUCAAUCUUAUAAGCACCUAGUGGAGGAGUGUCCUACAAUUCCAGCAGUGAGAGAGAUGUUUGGUGAUCAAGCAAAUGUUAUUGAUCAAUUCAAGCCUAAUAACAAUGCUUCAUAUGGCAACACCUACAAUUCAAAUUGGAGGAACCAUUCAAAUUUCUCUUGGAAACGAAAGCCACCUCAAUACACACAACCUACUCAAGCACCUUAGCAAUCCUCGAAUCUUGAACAAGCUAUUGUGAACCUUAGCAAGGUUGUGGGAGACUUUGUGGGAGAUCAGAAGUCCAUCAAUGCUCAACUGAAUCGGAGAAUUGACAGUGUGGAGAGUACAUUGAACAAAAGGAUGGAUGAGAUGUAAAAUGAUCUGUCUCAAAAGAUAGACAAUGUCCAAUACGUAAUCUCAAGGCUUACCAACCUCAACACAGUGUAAGAGAAAGGAAAGUUUCCUUCUCAACCUCAUCAAAAUCCUAAGGGUAUCCAUGAAGUAGAGGCUCAAGAGGGAGAAUCUUCAAAGGUGAGGGAAGUCAAAGUAGUUAUCACCUUGAAGAGUGGUAAAGAGGUUGAUCAACCCACAUCCAAGCCAAAGCAUAAUGAAGAGAGUGUAGCAGAAAAAGAAAAGAGAGGAAAAUAAAGGAAUUAGAAUAGAGAAAAAUACAAAGAAAGAUGACCAUGAGUCUAGUGUGGAUGAAGAGCCCGAGAGGAUGGUGAUCAAGGAAGAUAUGAUGAAGAAACACAUGCCUCCACCUUUCCCCUAAGCUUUGCAUGACAAAAAAAGAACCAAUAAUACAUCAGAAAAUUUUGAAGUAUUGAGGCAAGUGAAGGUCAAUAUCCCUUUGCUAGACAUGAUCAAACAAGUGUCGACAUAUGAAAAAUUCUUGAAGGACUUGUGCACUGUAAAGAGAGGGUUGAAUGUGAACAAGAAAGCUUUAUUGACCGAGCAAGUGAGUUCCAUCAUACAGUGCAAGUCCUAGUGAAGUACAAAGAUCCGGGUUGCCGUACCAUCUCAGUGAGUAUUGGAAGGACUUGUGUGGAGAAAGCUUUGUUGGACUUGGGAGCAAGUGUGAAUUUGCUAUCCUACUCUGUCUAUAAGCAGUUGGGAUUUGGAGAGUUGAAGCCAAUAUCCAUCACUCUAUCUCUAGCGGAUAGAUCAAUGAAGAUUCCAAGAGGGAUGAUCGAAGAUGUCCUGGUUCAAGUUAACAAAUUCUACUAUCCAGUAGAUUUUGUUGUUCUUGAUAUGGAUCCGGUUGUCAAAUGAACUAAUUAUGUUCCUAUCAUACUUGGAAGACCCUUCCUAGCUACAUCAAAUGCAAUCAUCAAUUGUAGGAAUGGAGUCAUGCAACUCACAUUUGUCAACAUGACAUUAGAGCUCAACAUCUUCCAUUUGUACAAGAAGCAUAUCCAUCAGGAGGAAAAAGAAGGUCUAGAGGAAGUGUGAAUGAUUGACACUUUAGUGGAAGAGCAUUGUGAUCGAGAAUGCAAAAAGAUUUAGUUGAGAAUUUUGGGGAUCUUGAUGAAAGGUUACUUGAACCCUCAGAUUUGCUUGCUACCCUACUCCAUUGGAAGAGAAGAGAAGAAAUUCUACCCUUAUUCAAUGAGGAGGAGACGCAAAGAGCUGCAAAGGAGAAACCCCCAAAACUUAUUCUUAAGCCACUACCCACAGAGUUGAAGUAUGUAUACUUGGAAGAAGACAAGAAGUGCCCUAUUGUUAUAUCUUCAACUCUUACCAUUCAUCAGGAGGAUUGUCUACUUGAAGUCCUUAGAAGAUGUAAGAAGACAAUAAGGUGGCUAAUUUCUUAUUUGAAAGGGAUCAGCCCUUUAGUCUGCACCCAUCAUAUUUACAUGGAGGAUGAAGCUAAGCUAAUUCAUCAACCUCAGAGAAGGUUGAACCCUCACAUGCAAGAGGUGGUUCGAGCUGAAGUUCUGAAGCUACUUCAGACCAGUAUUAUUUACCCCAUAUCAAAUAGCCCAUGGGUGAGUCCUACUCAAGUUGCGCCAAAGAAGUCUGGGAUCAUGGUGGUGCAAAAUGAUAAGGGAGAAGAUGUCUCUACACGCCUCACUACAGGUUGGAGGGUGUGUAUCAAUUACAGGAGGUUGAAUGCAGUGAUAAGAAAGGACCAUUUCUCAUUGCCCUUUAUUGAUCAGGUGCUUGAGAGGGUCUCUGGGCUUUUUUUUUUAUUGUUUCUUGGAUGGCUACUCCGGGUACUUUCAGAUAGAAAUUGAUGUUGAAAACCAAGAUAAGACCAUUUUCACAUGCCCAUUUGGAACCUAUGCAUAAAGGAGAAUGCCUUUCGGCUUAUGCAAUGCACCCGCAACUUUCCAAAGAUGCAUGUUAAGCAUUUUCAGUGAUAUGGUGGAGCGUAUUAUGGAAGUCUUUAUGGAUGAUAUCACCAUUUAUGGAAGUGCAUUUGAUGAAUGCUUGGUCAACUUAGAAGCUGUUCUGAACCGAUACAUUGAGAAAGACUUAGUGCUUAACUGGGAGAAGUGCCAUUUCAUGGUACACCAAGGGAUUGUCCUUGGGCACAUUAUCUCCAAGCAAGGCAUUGAAGUUGACAAAGCAAAGGUUGAACUCAUUGUUAAGUUGCCAUCCUCAACAAAUGUCAAAGGAGUAAGGCAAUUCUUUGGCCAUGUCGGGUUCUAUAGGAGGUUUAUCAAGGAUUUCUCUAAGCUUGCAAGGCCUCUUUGUGAAAUAUUGGUGAAUGAUGUUAAAUUCAUAUGGGAUGAUGGAUUUGAAAGGAGUUUUGAAGAAUUGAAGCUAUUUUUGACAACCGUACCAAUAGUGAGGGCUCCCAACUGGCAACUGCCCUUUGAAGUAAUGUGUGAUGUCAAUGAUUUUGCUAUAGGAUUUUUUCUUGGGCAAAGAGAAAAUGGAAAACCUUAUGUGAUCUACUAUGCGAGGAAGGCAUUGAAUGAGGCACAAAGAAACUACACAACCACCGAGAAAGAAUUGUUAGCUGUAGUUUUUGCCUUGGAUAAGUUUCGCGCUUACUUGGUGGGGUCCUUCAUCAUGGUUUUUACUGAUCACUUUGCUUUGAAGUAUCUGUUGACUAAGCAAGAUGCUAAAGCAAGGCUGAUUAGAUGGAUUCUCUUACUUCAAGAGUUCAAUCUCCAUAUCAAAGAUAAGAAAGGAGUGGAGAAUGUGGUAGCAGACCACAUUUCAAGGCUAGCUAUCGCACAUAAUUCCCAUGCUUUGCCCAUUAAUGACGAUUUUCUAGAGGGGUCUCUCAUGUUGGUGGAAGUUGUCCCUUGGUACGCUCACAUUGCUAACUACCUGGUCACGGGAAAAGUUCCAAGUGAGUGGAAAGCACAAGAUAAGAAGCACUUCUUUGCAAAAAUUCAUGCCUACUAUUGGGAAGAGCCAUUUCUAUUCAAGUAUUGUAUGGAUCAGAUAAUAAGGAAGUGCGUUCCUGAAGAAGAGCAACAGGGGAUCCUUAGUCAUUACCAUGAAAAUGCAUGUGGAGGCCACUUUGCUUAUCAAAAGACAGCCAUGAGGGUGUUGCAAUCGGGUUUCUGUUGGCCAUCACUUUUCAAAGAUGCCCACACCAUGUGCAAGAGUUGUGAUCGAUGCCAGAGGCUUGGGAAGUUGACACGCAGGAACAUGAUGCCUUUGAACCCCACUUUAAUAGUUGAUAUUUUUUAUGUUUGGGGCACUAACUUCAUGGGACCUUUCCCUAUGUCUUUUGGCUACUCUUACAUCUUGGUAGGAGUAGAUUAUGUUUCUAAGUGGGUUGAGGCAGUCCCAUGCAAACACAAUGACCAUAGAGUGGUUCUCAAGUUUCUUAAAGAGAAUAUCUUCUCAAGAUUUGGGGUGCCCAAAGCCAUAAUUAGUGAUGGGGGUACUCAUUUUUGCAACAAGCCUUUUGAAACUCUCCUAGCCAAGUAUGGGGUGAAGCAUAAGGUAGCUACACCUUACCACCCUCAAACUCAUGGACAAGUUGAGUUAGCAAACAGGGAGAUUAAAAACAUAUUGAUGAAGGUGGUGAACACAAACAGAAAAGAUUGGUCAGUCAAGCUUCUUAAUUCACUAUGGGCAUAUAGAACAACUUACAAGACCAUUCUCGGGAUGUCUCCUUAUCGCCUAGUUUAUGGCAAAGCAUGCCAUCUCCCUGUGGAAUUGGAAUACAAAGCUUGGUGGGCAAUCAAGAAGCUCAACAUGGAUUUGAGCAGAGCUGGGUUGAAGAGGUUCUUAGACCUUAAUGAGAUGGAGAAAUUGAGAAAUGAUGCCUACAUCAAUUCAAAAAUUGCAAAAGAAAAAUUGAAGAGGUGGCAUGAUCAGUUGAUUUCCCGCAAGGAUUUUCAAAAUGGACAAAGAGUCUUACUUUAUGACUCUAAACUCCACAUCUUUCCGGGCAAGCUGAAAUCAAGGUGGAUAGGUCAUUUUACCAUUCACCAAGUGCAUUCAAAUGGAGUAGUGGAACUACUCAACUCCAACAAUAUCGAGAACUUCAAAGUGAAUGGCCACCGUCUCAAGCCCUUUGUGGAGUCUUUUUCUCACAACAAGGAGAAAUUCAUCCUCCUUGAUCCACAUCAAGCUUAACAAGACCAAUUUUCUUGAUGGACUUAGUCUUUCUAAAGACUAUCGAGUCCAUAACUUUUUGUUUUAUUUUUUAUUUGAGAUUUUUUCGGUAUUGUUACUUGUUUUGUUUUUUAUUUUUCGUUUUAAUUUUAUUUGGUUUGAUUUAACUUAGGUUUUUGAUGAUCAAUUACAGGGGGGAUUUCAAAUAGAGGAAAAACCAAGAUAAUUCGCACACCCUACGAAAAUUUCGCAAGGCAUGCGAAAUUUAUGGCUUAUUUUGCAUGGGGUGAAAAUUUUCGUACAUCUUACGAACCAAUUUCGAACACUUUGCGAAAAUAAACCAACCCUGCGAAAUCAUUUCGAUUACUCUACGAAAUUUUCGUAGAGCAUGCGAAAAAUUUAGCACACCAAACACCAUUUCGCAUACUAUGCAAAAACCUAAGGGGUCUGCGAAACCAUUUCGCACCUCCAAAUCCAUUUCGCACAUUGUGCGAAAACCAAGAGGCGCUGUGCGAAAAUGAAAAGUCGCCCUGUCAUCCCUUUUUAAACCCCUCGAGCCCUAAAAUCUCCAUUUCGCAAGCACCCCUGUCCUUGCGAAUCCCUCAUUUUCCUCUACUACCUUGCAACCUCGUCCCUUUCCAUUUGAUAUUGUGCCCCGCGCACAUCUCAUUUCAGAGACUCGCACUCCGCGCCCCCUCAAAGCAUGGACUCGAGACCCACCUUCCAUUUCCGACGUGGCACGGACCCAAGGAGCCCUUUCUGCCCCUUCACUAAGACACACACCAAGGCAGAAAGCCUCCUUUGCUCAAGUGCCUAGUGAUUCUCCAUCUUAGGCCUCAGAGGCCUCGGAGGCCCCGUGGAUUCCACCUUCCGAGGGUAGAGCAGCCAUUGGUCCUUCCUCUUCUACUCCUUAGCGUAGAUACGAGACGAGGAGACCACCUACUACACAAGGGGCGACUACUUCGAGCCUUGAGAAUUCAGUACGAUGCCUUCCUGCCAAGAGGGUCAAGACUUCAGGUCCAAGUGAGUCAUCCAGAGCUUCAUAGCCUAAGCCUCCUGUAGAUUCCAAGGUUCCUACUGACAUAUCACCGGAGUCUAUUAUCAGAAGCCCGAUGCUCAUAGCACCGCCCAUUGAGGGCAACUCAGAUUAUAGAGCGAGAUCUUUCCACUUGGAGCUAUAUUUUGAUCAGGAGGCCAUACGACAGCAGCCUGAGCUCCGAGACUCUUAUGGCUUACUGCAGAGGUACCAUCUUGAGGAACUUAUGACUCCUCGUGAGUUUUUUUAUCCCAGAGUAGCACUAAACUUUUACCAGUCCAUGACUACUCGUGGCGUCCCGAGUCCUACCACGAUUCACUUCACCAUUGAUAGACGUCAUGGUAUCCUCAAGGCCAGACAUAUUACAGAGGCUCUACAAAUUCCUUUCGAGCUAGAGGAUCCAUCUGUUUUUCGCUAAUGGUCCCCAGUAUCUCAGAGGGACAUGGUCCGUAUUUUAUCUAGGGGAACAUCUACAGAUUCGAUCUUUCUACGGAAGGAGCUUCGACCUGGGAUGCUCCUCUUAGAUGUGGUGCUAUGCUCCAACCUCUUUCCCUUACAACAUUCGGUACAUAGGUGAUGAGCUAUUUUGGACGCUUUAUUCCGUAUAUCAGAGGGCUUCUACUUUGGCCCGCACCACUUGAUCAUGGUCUCCCUCAUCCACUUUGAGGAGAAGGUUCAUAGGAAGAAGCUUCAGAGGGUGGACACCAUUCCAUUACUAUUCCUGAGGUUACUUUGCCAGGUCUUGGAGUACAUGGGCUUUCCUACUGAGCCUCGGCUCGAGCUUUGCCGCCUUUGUCGAGAGUGAUCCACUCUCGACAAAUGGAAUUAGUUGGCGGGCUAUUCUGCACCUCCAGGAGCCCCUCCCAUGGUAGCACCUCCAAUGUCCCCACAGGCAAAGUAGGGCGAGCUCCCGGCAAAGACUGUACCACCAAUGCCCACACUUGAGGCUAUUUCUGCUGCUCUGCCUAUGACUCCUACUGUUCCACCAGUUGGUCCUUUUACAUCCGAGCCUUCCAUCACCAUCUCGGCUUCGGAGUUUCGCGCCCUUGUGCAUACCUUUCAGACACUCACCACCACACAUACUCCUCUCUUCUAGCAAAUGGUUGAGAUGUGUGCCCAUCAGGACCGGAAGACUACUAUACUCUGCCAAAUUCAGCAGCACCUAAGACUUUUGCCUCAACCUCAACCUAACCAUCCCAUAUCAUCAGAGCCUCUAGCUCCAACUGAGGAUACUAUUCCACCUGAGAACACUACCACAGUAGAGGUCCGGUUUCCACCACCUUAAGAGGCCACCACAGCUACAUCAGAGGAUGUGUCAUCUCCACUUGAGGCUCCCACUACUUGAUCAUAGGACAUAUCUUUAUCUUAUUGUAUUUACAUAUUAUAUUACUAGAGAUUUGUCCUUGUUUUGAUACUUUAUAUUCUGGGAUUGGAUGUAUUGCCUGAUGAUAUCUCAAUUGUACUUUCUCAUAUUAAUAUAUAGACAUCAAUUUUUUUUAGUAUACUUAGCAUUUUUCUAUUUCCUCUACUCAUUACUCUUUUGUUUUUUUUUACUCAUGUGGUUUCUCUUAUACAACUCAGACUCCAUUUCACUCAGGAGGUACCACUUCCUCCCUUUAUUUUCAAUUGCUCUUGAAAUAUUGAGUGCAAUGUUGAUCUUGGUUGGGGGGAGAGUUGAGGAAGGAAGUUUUGUUAAUAAUGCUAGGUUAAUUUGUUAAUUUAGUUACUUUCUGCUUAAUUUUAAAAGUUUUCACUCUACUUUCCAUGGUUAUUAAGGAAAAAUUCUCAAAAUGAAAUGGGAGAAAUCGAAUUCUUGCAUUUUUACUUGAAUCUUAGAAUUUGUAUCAUGCUUAUUAAAGUUGAUGAAUUAUUGAAACUCCUAUUGAAUUCAACCUUAUUUUUUCCACUUUAAUCUUACCACACACGGUGCACAUUAGGUUCCAGUUAUAAGAUAAAAAACUAUCUCACCCCCUAAACUUAGAAAAAUUUACACUUGGUACCUUUGACAUCGUUUUAAUAGUGUUGGGACACCUUAUAAAAGGCCAAUGAGCCUUUAAAAAAAAAAAAAAAAAAAAAAAGAGAAAGAACAAAGUAUUGCACUUGCCUUGAAACCUGAGCAAGAUCCGAGGGGUAUACAGUGAAAGUCUUUAAAACCUGGUGCCCUAAGCCUUGAUUGGUUGGGAGUCACCGACCUCAAUGCUCGUUAUAAGGGUGAAUAGGUGGAGUUUAACAUAUUGUAGGUGCUUGGGUAUUGAAUUUCAAUCUCAAAAGUCCGGGAAAAAAUCUAAGGAGUUAGUGGUCAAAAGAUCCUUAAAGCUUGAUGCCCUAAACCUUGAUUGGUUGAGAGUCAUUGAUGGAUCCCCGCUACAUGGACAUUUUAGAAAACAAUACCUUUAGCAUUGCACGCCUACAAUGAAAAAAAAAUGUGAAAUAAAAGAGGUGCGUUCUUAGCCUAUUGGAGGUUGGUCAGUUUGCUAAAGUUUGAGAAAUCUAGGUUGGGGGGAGAGAAUAGUCCGACAUACUAUAAUAAAAAACUAAUAACCUUAACACUUAGAUUUUUGUGGAAGAGUAAGGAUUGGACCUUUAGGGGUGGAAAUUCUUUUGAUGCUUAAAUUUGCAUAAUGCCUACUCUUUAUAAAUUAUGAUUAGGCAAGAGAUUUGAUGACUCUUGUUCAAAGUUGGGUUUUUCCUCUUUGAUGUUCCAUGAGAGAGUAUAAUCCUCAUCAUGCCACUUGAAAUCUUUUUGGAGUGAUUAACAUGAUUUUGUAAAUUAUUUUACUGUCUAUUUUUCUUUAUCUCUCUUUUAUUGCUAAUGGACUAGCAAUAUGUCAGUUGGGGGGAGUGAUUACUACUCAAAAAGUACUCUUUUAUAGCUUGAAACUAACUGUUUUAAACACUUUUGAGUAGGUGUUAAUACAUUUUAACUCAAUUGGCACAUUAAGGAACCUAACAAGGGUUACUAAUAAGUUUUUGGCAAGUUUUGGUGUUUUUGGUAGCUAUUUGAUCAUUGAAACAAGCCAAGAAUGAGGGAGAAUUUUGUGAAGUCCAUAGCAAUGCAAGUUAAAGCUCAAAUACAUGAAGAAUCCAAGCUUUGAAGCACUUCAUAGCCCUUUGCGAAGCCAAUCAGAGAUGCAAGGAAGAAAACCAGAGGAAAAAAUCCAACAACCAGCAUUUUCGCAUGGCUGUGCGAAAUUUUGCACACCAUGCGAAACCACAAGAAGUAGCCAAAGAAUUUUGCACACCAUGCGAAAUUUCGCAUGGUAUACGAAAUCUUCCUAUGCACCAACUCCGUUAUAUUUUUAUCUUCAGAUAUUUUGUGUAAUUUCCUAGUUUCUCCUUGUAACCAACCUAGAUAUUUUCUUUUAUAUCUUUUUUUUAUAUUUUUUAGGUAACAUCAUAUAUAGGGGGAGAGACAUAAGGAGGAUAUGGAUGUUUUUCAUAAAACACUUUUAAUUUUCUGGUAGUAAGAAAUAUACAAAGUUUUUUGCUCUGCCUUACCUUCUCAUUUUGUUUUCACCUAUCUUUCUAGCCAAACAACCUCUGAGAAUGAUUUCUCAGGGGAUGAGUAGUUAGGUUUUACGUUUCUUGGAGUGAGAGAAGCUAGGUGAAAGACCCAAAUGCUAAGGUGGGAGUUGUCCUUGCUUUAAAUGAAAGUAGUUGUUAAAUAUUAAUGGUUUUUAUUUUAAGGUUUAGCUUUAAAUCCCUUAAAAACACCUUGAAUGGCCAAUACUUGGUAAGCUUUUCGGAUUCUAUGGAUGCUUAUUGCUAGAUCCAUGGAUGUCAUUAGUUAUCAUUUAUGAGCCAUUGGAAGGUGGUUCAAGAUGAGAGUCUUUAGUGUUUGAAGCCAUUAAUGGGAAACAAUUACCAUUUUUUCAUGAAUCCUUUGGAUAAAAUCUUAAUUGCUAAAUAUAAAACUGGUUCGGGAGAUAACCAUCCUUUAUGUUAUUAUGCCCAAUGCAAGGAGAAGAUUUCGAAUCUUCUCAUUUGUCUAAGGAACCCGAUCCUAGUGACCUAAAGCUCCUAGAGACCUUUUCUUUGUAGUUAACUUCAUUUAUUGUUUUUGCUUAACUUAAAAUCAAUCUUUGCAACCACAAUUCCAUUUUCUUUAAAAGCUAAUUUUUAUAAGGAAAAGCACCAUUUUAUUUCCUUCACUAAGUCAACUGUAUGAUGAAAACCCAUCCCUGUGGACGAUCUUAGAGCCACUAUACUAUGUUAUCUAUGCUAUCCUAGUGUGAGGUGAUUUAGGUUUUAUAAAUUUUGUUGAUAACACCCGUCUGAGCCAGAAUCAAAUGGAACCACUGAACCAGGGACAAAUCAACAGCCUAUAUGGGAGGGACACAAGUUUAAUUGAUUUGCAUUUCAGCGUUAUAGAUAAGUAUGUUUUGGAAGAUUUGUUCUGGAAAUACUGCACCAAGUACGAUUCUUUUUCUCUUGAGUGAGUCCAUUUGCAUGCCAAUUAACGAGUUGAAAAGUAGGAGCACCUACCUCGUGCUCAUGGAACCGAAUGUCAGUGAAGUGGGGCUCCUUUUAGCCUCUUGUGUUUCUGUUCCAACCAAGGCGGCGUAGGGAAAAACAACAAUAUGUCUGUGCUAAAUAUCAACGCAUGAUAGAUGUUUUUUUUUUUUUUUUUGGUAUGUCAAGGCUAACGAAUGAAAUGCAUUAGCUUGUUUUGUGACUAUAACUGCAAAUGUCCAAAUUGGAGUAUCUCCAUUUCUCACUUCGGAUGGUUAACUUUAUAAACAAGAUAUAGGAAACAUGUGAACAUCUUGAGGAACAAUUCAAAUUAUUCAUUAGAAGUCCUGGGUUAAGUUCCAAGAUUUAAAUCAGACCCUUCUAGCAGCUUCAAGGGUACUUAGCAACCUAUAACAUAUUAAUGAAGAUUUAGGAUUUAGACUCCGGAAUACAAAUAAAUAUGUAUCUCAUGCUUUGACUAGCUUCCCUACAUAUGCAUAAAAUGGAGAUGACCCAAAAAAAAUAGCAGAAUCUAGCUUCCCUACAUAUGCACAAAAUGGAGAUGACCCAAAAAAUAGCAUAAUCGCCUUAGUUUCUGUGGUUAAGGUGAUUCUCCGCUUAAUAUCCACAUUGACUCAUUAUGCAAAAUCAACUGAGCUAAUUUUAUUUAUUUAUUUAAUGUCAAAUAGGAACUCCUAAUUAACUGAUUACUGUCGAAAAGUGCUAUUUUGUAGACCUAAUUAUAAGGGUUUUAAGCACCUUUGAGUAGUAAUCAUAUUCAUUUAACCUAAUUAAUUCAUUAAGCUCCUUAGUAAUUAGUUCUAACCAUUUUUAGUGGCAAGUUUACAUGUUUUUCAUCAGCUUAUGAACCAAUUCAAGCAUGCCAAUUGAUGGAGGAGCUACUUGGGCGAGUUAAGCAAGGAUUUUGGACGUUUACAGGCUUGAAUUUCAAGUGGAAACACGAGCACAAGCAAUGGGAACACCAUUUCGCAAGGGGAGGCAAUUCACCUUGCCAAAUGACCAAUUUCGCAAGGGGAUUUUCCUCAUGGUGCAAAAUUUGGUCAUUUCGCACCAUGAAGAAACCACCUUGCAAAAUUUCGCAAGGUGGAUUUAGGCACCUUGCGAAAUGCCAAAUUUCACAAGGUGGCUUUUCACCUUGCGAAAUUUGGACCUUUCAUCUUCCCCCCUUGCGAAAUGCCUUUGAAAUCCCCUGUUUUGAGACGCUGUUGAUGAUAUUCCACUGCCGGUUCUCCAAGAUAUUUUGCUUGACUUUUAGCUUUAUAAAUACCUAUUUUACCCUUGUAAUCAACCAAUGAAAAGGUUGCUUUUGUAAUAGCUCUUGUAAUUUAGCUUUUUAUUGUCUUUAAAUAGAGGUGAAGAGCCUCAGACACGAUCAUCUUGUAACCUGUAACUUUAUAAGUUAUAAGAGCACUUUUGUUCAUACGCUUCUUUUCUCUUUUCUUUCUCAUUUUCUUAGUAGCCAAACAUCCUUGGAGGAUGAAAUCCCCAAGGAUGAGAGGCUAAAACCUUUUAGUUUCUUGAAGUAAUGGAUGCCAUGUGAAGCUCCCGUGUCAGGAUGGAGAUUUCCAAGCCAUAAAUGUAAGUAGCUGAGCGUCAUAAAUGUUUUCAUUCAAAGUAAAGCUUUUAAUCCCUCUGACUUGCUUUGAAUGGCCAAUACUUGAUAACCUUUUGGUCUCAAUGGAUUCUUAUUGUUAGAUCCACUGACGUUCAUUAGUUAUCUCCUACGAGCCAUUGUAUUGCAAGUCGAGGAGAUGACCUAUACCAAUAAAAGAGCAUUUAUGAGGUUCAACUACCCUUUUUGUAAGUUUUCAAGGACUAAAACUCAGUUGUUAAACUCAUACCGGUUCGAGAAGUAAGCAUCACCUUAGUUGCUUCCCCAACUCGAGGUGAAAAGUCCCAAAAUCUCCAUUUUUACACAGUGAGUUAAGCAUGGCUAUCCAAAGCUUUAAGAAACUUCUUUUUCCAUCUUUUAACCUAUUUUCAUGUUAGUUUAGUUUACAACACCUUCAUCUUUUUAUGUUUUCAUCUUAACCUAAUUUUUAUUAAGAAAAGUUCACUCCAUCCUCCGAACUUCACCAGUUAAAGUAAAAACCCUUCCCAGUGUUCGAUCCUAGAGCCACUAUGCUAUAGUAGCUUUGCUACUUUAGUGUAAGGACCUUAGGUAUAAAUUUUGUUGAUACCCUUACAUGCCAAGCUACCAAGAGUCGGGUUAUCAUUAACCUAACCAUUGGCCUGUGUAAAUUGAUUUCACAUGCACAAUGUUGUAGUAGAAGUCCAUAUUUUGAAUUUUAUUUUUGUAAAGGUAAGGAAAAUGAAGCAUUGUGUAAUUAUAAAAAUAACUUCAUUGGAAUUCACAAGGUUCACCCAAAAUGGAGCUACAUCUGUAUUCUAUCCUACAGUAGACUAUAUAGAUUGUACAAUAGUAAAUUGCAAAUACAAUUAAUAAGUCUUGUGCUUCCUUACUAAUAAUCCUUUGACAUGAACAUUGCAGCACUAAGGUCCUCUUGGGAAGACACCUUGCACCCAUGAGAGCACUAAGAGGAAGCAAGGCAGAGUCAUGGGUGCAAUGUCAUGACUUGUUGUUGCACCAAGAGAGGCUUGGUGAUGCCAUGGUGUUGCAGUAGCAAGAAUGUUGCCUUGGCAGGGACACGAUCUAGGGAUAGAUGCCAAGAAAGGCUUAGCACUCACAUGAGUUGCACAAAGAUGAAUGUAAUAGAGCAUCAGAGAGACGUCUUGGCAAGUAAAUGAAUGGAUCCAAGAGACAACAACAUGAGGAGUUUCAAAUGGAUAAGGAAUGACUCAAAGACAUUUGAAAGCUACAAGUUGGAUUCUAAUUACGAUUGCAAUUUGAGUUUGAGUAGGAGUUUAGAUUUUGAUUGUAAUUGUAGUAUGAGUUGGACUAGGAUUGCUUAUCCUUAGUCAAUAUAGGAGCGGUUCGUGUCACCCUAUGAAAAGAGUUUGAGUAGGGACUAGGAUUGCUUACUCCUAGUCAAAUAUGGAGUAGGUGGUGCCACACCUAUAAAAAAAAGGGACAACAUGAGAGAGAGAGAGAGAGAGAAAGAGAGAGUGAAUUCACUAAAGAUAUUGUGGGAGUUUUGCUUUGUUACGUCUUGUAUUAUUACUUAGAAUAGGAAUAAAAUACAAGUUGGGGCUAGAGCCCCAUAAUUAAUCUCGUGUGCCUUUGUGGUUAUUCUUUAUUUGUCAUCUCGUGUGGAUUGGAUUAGGUUGACUUAGAGGGCUUCUAAGCACCACCUUUGUGGGUUAUUAUUUAUUUUCCAUCUCUUGUGGAUUAGAUUAGGUUGACUUAGAGGGCUUCUGAGCACCACCUUUGUGGGUUAUUAUUUAUUUUCCAUCUAUUGUGGAUUAGAUUAGGUUGACUUAGAGGGCUUUUAAGCACCACAUUUGUGGGUUAUUCUUUAUUUUCCAUAUCGUGUGGGUUGGAUUAGGUUGACAAGGAGAAAAAUUAUGUGGGAAAUUUGUGUUGGGACACUUACCAUAACCAAGUAAAAUCUACCAAGUCCUUUGUAAUAUCUUCAACAAAUAUUUUAGACUAGUUCUUUCAGUUAGUGUAAAGGAGGAAGAAGUGGUAUUGAUUCUAGAAAUAGGGUGUGUGUAUUUGAACUACAAUCCUUAUGAUCCUUAGGUCUCUAAACCUUCGUGAUGGGCUCCCUGACAUUUCAUAGGUUGUGCUACACAUGCGUUUGAAAUUUAGAGUGCGUUUGACAGUGAUUCCGGGAAGUGUUUUUGGCCUUUCUUACACUUGAAAAUUUUUAUUUUUCAAGUAUUAGAAAUGCUACAAACACUUUUGAAAAUUACUGUCAAACACACUCUUAGGAGCGCACAUAUAUAGUAGAAAACUAGAAAUUGUGGUUUUUUUAGGAUUUACUGUAAUGUCAUUAGGAGGGUAGUAAGUUGAAAUUGAGUAUGAACAAAUAUUUCUUUCUUUGGGAUGUUCUUCUAGUAGGUGCUGAUGAAACUGUUCUUUCUACUGCCAAUGUCACAUAUCAGCCAGAAAUUGAAAAUUUCAGUCAAGGUGUCCUCUGUUUUAGUGGUGAGGAAAGCUAGAAAUUUUAAGGUGAAGUUUUGUUAAAAACCUUAAGUAGCUGGGAUAUCAGGCCUGUUUUGCUUGAAAAAAAAAGUUGCAAGAUAACUCAUAUGCCAAACAGGUUCUGAUAUUGUGAAUCUAUCGGCAGACAUCAGUAAUCUCAUCUUCUGAGAUGGAUGUUGGGGGUGCAUGUGGUGGUGGAGGGGCAAGGUUUCAUUUGGUUUAUUUUGUUGAUGGAUAUUGUCUAGCCACCUGCGCCAAGUUUGAGGGGUGGUGGGUUGUGAUGACCCUACAAUUACUAUUAAUUUCUUCAUCUUUUACCGAUUAAAGUGUCCGAACAGUCGAAGUUACCCUUAUGCAUGUCAACUUGAUCACUUACCUCUUCAAUGGAGUUUAUGCUGGUUCAUUUAGGAACUGAUUUUUAUUGUUAUGUAUUAUAUGCUGAUGUUUAGGUCUCUCCAUCAUCACUAUAUACAAAAAUUCUAGGUUGAUACUAUAGGUUGAGAUUUAUUUUUUAAAUAAAAAAUAAUAAAAAUAAAAAUUAUGGUGAUGUUUAGUUGUUUUAUGGAAAAUUUUAACAAGUAAAAGUUAUUUUUGGGCAAGUUUUCAAACAAAAAGAAAAGUAAAAGUUGUUUUGACAAAAACAUAUAGAAAAAAAAAUCAUAGAAAAUAAAUAAUUUCCCCAUAUUCUAACUUUUUUGAAUUUUUCUCAAUGGGCAAAGGAAUAUCAAAUCAAGUUUGAGUAGGAUUUCUUAAUUUUUAAAAUAACUUACAAUUAAAAAAUUUUGGUGUUUUCAUUUUUGGACAAUUUUUUAUUAAGCAAAUGGACUCUGAGUCAUGCAAGAGAUAUGGUUCAUUAACCGGUCGAACAAUUUUUUUAAAUUAAUUUAAAAGUCAAAUACAUAAUCAAUUUCACAAAAUUUAUAAACAAAAAUAGGUUUAGAGAAGAUCUACACAUAAUUUUACUUUUCUAAUUUUAUUUUAUUUUAUUUUUUGUUGGAAAAUAGUCUUCAAAUCAUGUAAGAUUUAAUAGGUUAAAUUUGUUAACAAUAAAUUUUAAAUUAUAAAAUAUAAUCUGGAACUCAAAAAUCAAUUCAAGUAAUGCUAAAAAAAAAUCAAAUUUGGUAUAGAAUGACUUUGUAAAUUUUUUUACAAAACAAAUGAAUUUUAAAUCAAGUGAGAUUUAAUGCAUUAGAUUUUUAUCAAAUAUAGUAAUUUUAAAAAUAAAUUUGGAACUCAACAAUAGACACAAUAAAUACCAAAAAAUAAUGAACCAAAAUUGGUUUGGAAUAACUCCACAACCUUUUUUUUUUUUUUUUGGUGCACACGAAUUUUCUUACUAGGUAUAUUGCUUUCAAAUUGAGAAAGAUUUACCAUUUAGAUUUUUUUUUAAUGAGUUUAAUGGUAUUUUAAAAUAAUUCAAAAUUUAAAAAAUUGACUAAUUAAUAUUAUAAAUUGAUAAACCAAGACUAUUUCAAAAUGCAUUGGGGGCUAAGGGGGUUGAAAAUAGGGACAAUGGGAUGGGUUUGGGACAUGACACUCAUAUCUCAUUUCCAUUCCAAUUACACAGUUAUCUCCCAUCCUUAUCCCAAACUUGUGUUGGAGCAAGUUGAUUUGUUCCCAUCUUUGUUGACGAAAUGACUAAUAACCUCAUCCCCUCCUUAUCUUAGAUGUACAUUUUGUCAAAUUUGAUCAGGUAUGAUUGAUCCAAGCCCUAACCCUAAUUGGUAAUGAGUGAAUACUACACCUAAUUGCAUUCUUCUUUCAUUGCAAAAUAAUGAGAUUAUAAUAAUCUAGCAAAUAAGAAAAAAUAGUAUGGAAGUUCAAAUUAACACCAUAACUAUCAAUAAUUUUAAGCUUAUAGAUGACUUAAAUGAUUAAAAACUAAUGCAAAAUCCUAAAAAAAAUAAAAAUCAUAUAAAGAAUUCACAAGAGAACAGAAUGAACAAAAACCAAAUAUGAACAUGGGUCAACAUUAGUUAUGGAUUUGGAUUCCUUUCAAGGCCAAUCUUUGAACCAAGACUUCAUCAAAUCAACUACUUCAAAGGCUUUUGUGUUCUUCUUGGGUUGUGCUCUCAAACAAAGACUUCGAGGUGAUGUUCUAGAUGAUUGAAUUACACAUAUUUAGGGUGGAGAGAUUGGAGAAGCUUGAAGAUGCCAACGAUGGGUACAAUUGAGUGGUCAAUAAGAACAAUGUAGCCUAUGACUAGUUUGAUGUCAUGGUACAAGAGUUUUAGGCAUUGAGGUUAAAGCAAGAGCAACAUGGAAUUGAUUUCGGAGUCUUUCAGUUAGUGUAAAGGAGGAAGAAGUGGUGUUGAUUCUAGAAAUAGGGUUUUAAGUGGUGCGUGAUUACUACUCAAAAAGUGCUAUUUGAUAGCCUUUAAUUAAUCCUUUUUAACACUUUUGAGUAGUAGUUUAGGCCUUUUAACUCAAUUGGCAUGUUAAGGAUCCUUUAAAGCAAUUUUGAUCACUUUGUGCAAGUUUUGGUGUUUUUGUUAGUAUUUUGAUCACCAAAGCAAGUCAAGAAUGAGGAGAACUAUGAGGAAUCAUGGGCAAAGCUUAGAAUUCAAUUGCCAAGAGUGAAUCCGGAUUGCAAGGAGAAAAAGCAAAGAGAAUCUGUCAUGAAGCCUAUUCUUGAUGACAGUCGUAGCAGCCACUUUUGGAGCACUUUCUGAAGUCCAAAUGAUGCAAGCUAUAUACCAUUUCAAAGAUCAGGAAGUCAACAAUCCAAUGCUUCAAACGGUGCGCGAUUCGGAGUUGAAACGAAGAAGUUGCAGCCAUUACAAGCCAGUCACUCUAAAGUGUUGCGGAAUCAGCCUUUUGUUGCGAGAAUUUCGCAGCACUUUUGUACAGUAAGGUGUUUCUCCUUCUGACGAUGCACGAACCAUGCCGCGAGAGGGAAGCUAGGAACUUCAAGAUGGAAGCCAACUUUGCAGCCUGGUGAAGAUAGCUUGGUCUUGCGAAAUAAUUUCGCAGCCCUCUUGGGUGUCUGCGAAAUUUCGCAGGCACCACUUUUUUCCUGCGAAAUGGCUCCGGAAGCCUCCCGAAGCUUGCUACCGACAUUGGGAGAUAUUUUCCAUUAGAUUUUUGUUGUCUAAAUUCCAAAAUACUCCUUGUAAACCACCAAUUACAUGAUUCCUUAGUUUUUAAGUUAGUAAAAAGACCAAAUAUCUAUGUAAUAAUUAGUUUUAUAUUAGUUUGCUAUAAAUACCUCUCGGGAGCAUGUUCUCAGAGAGGAGUUCCUUCUGUAACCAUUUUGGUAAGCAAGUAAAGUCUUUUCUUUCUACUGCCUUACCUUCUCACUUUGUAUUUUCAUUUUAUUUCUAAGUUAUGAAUUCUCUGAGGAGCUUUCCCCAGAGAAUGAGUAACUAAACCUCCAAUUCCUUGGAGCUAAGGUUGCCGGGGAAGGUUCCAAGUGCAAGAAUGCAAAGCUCUGUGGUUUUAGCUAGUAAUGAAGAGGAAGUGAAAUCCUUUAGUGAUUUCAAUGUUUUUAGUUAACUUAAAACACCUUGGAGUCACCUGGGCCAACACUUGGUAAGGCAAGUGAUUUCCAACCGUGGAAAUGCACUAGUUUACCCCUUGCGAGCCUCUGGUAGGUGACUUCAAGGUAGGAUUUUCUGGAAUUACCAACACUUGGUAAGCUUUUGGACUCCUAGGAGACAUCCAUUAGUUAUCUCUUGCGAGUUUGUGAAGGGGAAUCCAAGGUUAAAGAUCACCUUGAAUGGUAAGUGCUCGUGAGAGGCAUGAACCAUUGCAAGUUGUAUCAGUGAGAGAAUUAAAGUGAAAUCUAAUUGAAGGAGUCUCUGUACAUCACCGGUUAGAGAAUUGACUAUAAGUUGAAUCUCUAAUGCGAGGAAAUGAACCAUCUGACCGGAGCUAUGUCUUUUGCAUGAGGAACCACCCCAGUGAACCUAAAUCUCCAAGGAAUGCUUUUCUUCCUAAAUUAUUCCAAACUUCUGUUAAGUUAGUUAGUUUAAGUCUAAACCUUUACCAAUCAAACUUUGUGUUUUAUUUCUUAAGCUAACCGUGAAAUGAAACAAAACCAAUUCACUUGGAAUUGGUAUCCUUGAUUGCUUGCAAAUCAUUCCCAGUGAACGAUCCUUAGAGCCACUAUACUAUAGUAGCUUUGUAUUUGCUACCCUAGUGUAUGGUGUUAUAGGUAUAAAUUUUGUUGAUCACUUCCUCAAUCAAGGAACACCAGCUGAACACAAAUCAGCUGAGACACCAAUUGGGCAUGAGUCAAAUGGCGCCGUUGCCGGGGAAUGAGUGUCAAGAUCAUUGUGAUACCAUUUUUGAGCACUUGUGAUUUUCAUCACAAGUUGGUAAAGUUUCUUUCACUUUACUAAUUUUCAUUCUCUCUUUGUUUAUUUACAAUCUAAGUUUAUCUUUUUAAAAUUUAGUCUAGUUUAAUUUUGCUAUUGUAGCCUUGUUUCUCUUGUUGUCCUCUGUUCUUGUUGUCCUCUGUUUUCAUUUUAGUUGCAGCUGAAUACUAGUUGUGUAUGCCAAAGUGGAUACGAGACAUUGGAGGUAGGCUUAUUAAGUGUGAUACACCUCAGAGAGGAGAAUUGGAAGUAAUCUUGAAUAUCAUGGAGGCUGCACCUGAAGAUCAGCAUAGUCACCAAGGUCGUCAAGACAAUCUCAAUGAAUUCAGAUCAAUGAGGGACCGUAUGCAUCCACCUCGUAUGAGUGCACCAUCAUGUAUAGUGCCCCCUACAGAGCAACUAGUGAUCAGACCAUAUCUUGUUCCACUUCUACCAACUUUCCAUGGGAUGGAAAGUGAGAAUCCGUAUGCACACAUCAAGGAAUUUGAAGAUGUUUGUAAUACAUUCCAAGAGGGAGGAGCUUCAAUUGAUUUGAUGAGGCUUAAGUUAUUUCCUUUUAAUUUAAAGGAUAAGGCCAAAAUUUGGCUUAAUUCUUUAAGGCCAAGGAGUAUCCGCUCUUGGACUGAUUUACAAGCUGAAUUCCUCAAGAAAUUUUUUCCUACUCAUAGAACAAAUGGCUUGAAAAGGCAAAUUUCAAACUUCUCAGCUAAAGAGAAUGAGAAAUUCUAUGAGUGUUGGGAAAGAUACAUGGAAGCUAUAAAUGCUUGUCCUCACCAUGGCUUUGAUACUUGGCUACUGGUGAGUUAUUUUUAUGAUGGUAUGUCCUCCUCAAUGAAGCAACUCCUCGAGAAAAUGUGUGGAGAAGAUUUCAUGAGCAAAAAUCCAGAGGAAGCUAUGGAUUUCUUGAGCUAUGUAGCUGAUGUUUCAAGGGGAUGGGAUGAACCAACUAAAGGAGAAGUGGGAAAGAUGAAGUCUCAGUUGAAUGCUUACAAUGCAAAGGCUGGGAUGUAUACUUUAAAAGAGGAUGAUGACAUGAAAGCAAAGUUGGCAGCUAUGACAAGAAGAUUGGAGGAGCUGGAGCUGAAAAGAAUGCAUGAAGUGCAAGCUGUUGCUGAAGCACCAGUGCAAGUGAAGUUGUGUCCCAAUUGUCAAUCGUUUGAACAUUUGGUAGAGGAAUGCCCUGCAAUUUCAGCUGAAAGGGAAAUGUAUAGAGAUCAAGCAAAUGUUGUUGGACAAUUCAGGCCCAAUAACAAUGCUCCUUAUGGAAAUACCUACAAUUCAAGUUGGAGGAAUCAUCCAAAUUUUUCAUGGAAGGCCAGAGCAACUCAAUACCAACAGCCGGAUCCACCAUCUCAACAAUCUUCAAGUAUUGAACAAAUAAUAGCUAAUCUCAGCAAGGUAGUGGGAGAUUUUGUGGGAAAGCAAGAAGCCACCAAUGCUCGAGUGGAUCAAAGAAUGGACAGAGUGGAUCAAAGAAUGGACAGAAUGGAGAGUAUGUUGAACAAAAGAAUGGAUGGAAUGCAAAAUGAUAUGAAUCAAAAAUUUGAUAACAUCCAAUAUUCAAUUUCAAGGCUUACAAAUUUGAAUACACUGCAAGAAAAGGGAAGAUUUCCUUCUCAACCUAACCAAAAUCCCAAAGGUGUCCAUGAAGUGGAAAGCCAUGAGGGAGAAUCAUCACAGGUGAAAGAUGUGAAAGCUUUGAUCACUCUAAGGAGUGGUAAGAAAAUUGAGCAGCCAACACCCAAGCCACAUGUUGAGAAAGAAGAAGAGAUGAAGAAAGGGAAGGAAAUGGAAGAUAAAGGCAGUGAGAUCAGUGAAGAAAAGAAGGACUCUGAUGCAACAAUGAAAGUAAUUCCAGAGAAGGAGCUUCUGAAGGAAGAAAUGCUGAAGAAAUCAACUUUUCCACCUUUUCCUCAAGCAUUACAGGGGAAAAAGGGGGUUAGAAAUGCAGCUGAAAUCCUAGAAGUAUUGAGGCAAGUGAAAGUUAAUAUUCCACUGCUGGAUAUGAUCAAACAAGUUCCAACGUAUGCAAAAUUCCUAAAGGACUUGUGUACUAUCAAAAGAGGGUUGACUGUAAACAAGAAAGCCUUCUUGACUGAGCAAGUAAGUGCAAUCUUACAGUGUAAGUCUCCUUUGAAGUACAAAGACCCUGGAAGUCCUACCAUUUCAGUCAUGAUUGGAGGAAAGGUAGUGGAGAAAGCCUUGCUAGACUUGGGAGCAAGUGUGAAUUUGCUUCCAUAUUCUGUCUACAAGCAACUGGGACUUGGAGAGUUGAAGCCAACAGCAAUCACUUUGUCUCUGGCAGAUAGAUCAGUGAAAAUUCCAAGAGGGGUAAUUGAGGAUGUAUUGGUUCAAGUAGAUAAUUUCUACUAUCCUGUAGAUUUUGUUGUUCUUGAUACAGAUCCUACUGUAAAGGAAGCUAAUUUAGUUCCUAUCAUCCUUGGAAGGCCAUUUCUUGCAACUUCAAAUGCAAUCAUCAACUGUAGAAAUGGGCUUAUGCAACUCACUUUUGGUAACAUGACACUGGAUCUAAAUAUUUUCUAUAUGUCUAAAAAGCAAAUCACUCCAGAAGAAGAAGAGGGUCCAGAAGAGCUAUGUAUUAUUGAUACUUUGGUGGAGGAGCACUGCAAUCAACAUAUGCAAGAUAAGUUGAAUGAAAGUUUUGUGGAUAUUGAGGAAGGUUUUUCUGAAUCUCCUAAUGGGCUUGCUACUCUACAAAGUUGGAGAAAGAUAGAAGGAAUUCUACCUUUGUUCAAUGAAGAAGAGGAGGCAGCUGUUGAAAAAGAAAUUCCAAAACUCAAUCUGAAGCCUUUACCUAUGGAGCUGAAAUAUACAUAUCUUGAAGAAAAUAAUCAAUGUCCUGUCGUAAUAUCUUCAUCUCAAACCAAGUCUCAAGUGAAGGAUGCAAGCUUCAAAUGGGAUCCGGGCAAACUGAAUCAGGAAGGGCAAAAAGUUUUGAUGUAUGACACAAGACUCCAUAUCUUUCCUGGGAAGCUCAAGUCAAGGUGGAUUGGUCCAUUUGUUAUUCACCGAGUAUAUUCCAAUGGAGUGGUGGACUUAUUGAAUUCCAAUGGCAAGGACAGCUUUAGAGUCAAUGGAUAUCGUCUUAAGCCGUUCAUGGAGUCAUUCAAAUCAGAAAAGGAGGCAAUCAACCUCCUUGAACCUCAAAAAGCCUAAGUGAAAUGGGUUUGCUGGACGUGGUUUUACCACAGUCCAAAAAUUUUUGUAAAUUUUGUAAAUUUUCAAGUUGUUUCCAUGCUUUUAAUCUUAGUUUUUGAUUUUAAAUCAUGUUUUUAGGUGUGUUUUAAUCGUUUUAUAUGAUCCCAGGCGGAAGAAAUUUCAAGGGGAUUGAAAAGAAAAAAAUCGGGUCGAAAUUGGAGCCGAAACAGAGCAAAAACAGGGGAAAAACAGAGCUCUGCGAAAUUUCGCAGGGUGAAGGAAACUUCUGCGAAAUUGGCAUUUUGCUGCCAAACCAUUCCGCAGCACUGUAGAAGCCUCUGCGAGUGUAUUUCGCAAUUGCGAAAGUGGAUUUGGCACACGAGUGCCACUUCGCAGCACAGUGACAUCAAUUUCGCAGCUGCGAAACUCACUGCGAAGUUGCUGCGAAAAUGGCAAGUUGCUGCGAAAUUGGCGUUUUGUUGCGAAACGUAAUCUGACCCCUGGGCUUCCGUUUUUCCUAUUUAUACCUGUCAAAAGUGCUGCGAAAAAGGUUUCAAAAAUUAGAGCACCAUUCUCGCAGCCCUUUCAUCUUCUUCGCCAAGCCACGCCGUCCGUUUCUCCGGUCGUCUUCUCCGUUUAGCAGCGCCGGCCAAAGAUCGAUAGCCCAAAAAUGGCACGAACGCGAGGGGCAAAGUCUUCAUCCCCUUCGAACCGCAAAAGGAGUCUGCGAAAGGAGCCAAGUUCAGGCUCUGUUCCAGAACCUGCUCCAAAGCCUUCGCCGUCGAGACCACAACCUUCUCCAGUGAAGCCGGCGCCACCAAAGCCGCCGGCAAGGCGAUAUUUAACCAGGUCAGGUGGUCAGCCAUUGAAGAAGAAAGCCAGAGUUGAGAGCUCUGAACCAAUCGAUUUGACUGAGCAAUCCCCUGAGAAAUCACCAAAUCCUUCACCGGUACAAAUUCCAGUGCCAUCACCGGUUCCCUCGCCAAUUCCCUCACCAGAAGCAACUCCAAUUCCAUCGCCGGUACCAUCUCCGGCACCCCAAGAAAAAGCUCAGGAGCCUCAAGCGCCAAUUCCAGAGCCCCAAAUUGCAGCUGAAGCACCUCUGGAAGAAGUGAUCCGAAGGCCAAUGCUGCCUCAGCCCCCAAUCGAAGGAAACCUGGAUUGCCGAACUCGGGCAUUCCAUUCUGAGCUUUGCUUCGAUUUAACAGCAUUCAGAGUGAGGCCAGAGCUUGCCCAAUCCUUCCAACUGCUGAGGAGAUAUCAUAUGGAGCAUCUGCUAGCUCCAAGGGAUUUUUUCUAUCCCCGGGUAGUCACGGAUUUCUACCAAACCAUGACAACCAAAGAAGUAAGAAAUCCAACUCUGAUUCAUUUCAUAAUUGAUGGAAGGCAUGGUAUUUUGGGAGCAAGACAUAUUGCUGAAGCCCUGCAAAUUCCUUUUGAGCCAACUCAAUUCGACAAUUUUAAAGCUUGGACAAAUCCUACUGAGUUAGAGAUGGUUAGCACACUAACCAGAGGAGCUGCAAAUCGAUCGCAUUUGUUGAGGGGGGAGCUACCUCCAGUUAUGUUUUUGAUUGAUGCCUUUUUGAGGCAUAAUAUCUAUCCCCUGCAGCAUUGGACCCAAAGAAGGGGAAUUCUCCUAGAAGCCUUGUACAAAAUGUCUGAAGGAUUCUUCUUUGGGCCUCAUCAUCUGAUCAUGGCAGCCCUUCUAUACUUUGAGGAGAAGGUUCACAAGAAGAAGCUUCAAAGAGCAGAUUGCAUUCCACUCCUCUUCCCAAGGCUGCUAUGCCAAGUUUUGGAGCAUCUCGGAUACCCCUCUGAGCCUCAGCAGGAAAGAAAGAGAAUAUGCCGUGAGCCUUUUACCCUUGAUAAAUGGAAUAAUAUGACGGCCUACAAAAUUGAUCAGCCUGGGCAGCCUCAGCCAGCAGCAAGGAGAGUCUCCCCAAGACAUAUACCUGAAGGUAUAACACUUGCUACUCCUGCCAUCCCUCGAGCUCCACCAGCUGCACCUGCUCCAUCACAGCCAUCCACAUCAGCUGAGCCGAGGAUGGCCAUCCCUAUAUCCGAAUAUCGAGAGCUGUGCCGUGCAUUGGAGACUCUUACAGCUUCUCAGAGCAAUCUUGCUCAGGAGUUGGCAGCCAUUAAAGCAUGCCAGGAGCAGAUGUUAGCCUCUCAGACUCAACAAGCUGCCAUCCUAAGGCAGCUUCAAGUCCAUUUCGAUCUGCCACAAGCUGUAGAGCCCUCUAUUCCUACUCCACCAGAGCCACACUCUCAGCCUUCAGAGUCUCAUCCUCCAGAACCCGAAGCACCAGCUGAUCCACCUACUGAGGAGGCAGAUCCUUCUGCCUAGCACCAUCACCCCCCUCAUCAGACAUUAUAUAUAUAUUUGCUGUUUAUGUUUUUAUGCAUGUUUGUUUUGUUUUAGUUGAAAAGAAAUCCCAGUAUUUUGGUACUAUAUAUGGGAUUCCUUGUGUUACUUGUCUUUAGUAUUGUAAUCACAUGAACUCAAAGUAAUACAAGUUGACUAUUUCUUGUUAAAAGUUAGCAUUAAAGUUUCCUUAUUUCCUUUUCUCACAUAUUCUAUUCUUUUUGAAACAUGUGGUUUUCCCCAAUCAAUAUUCGAAUUUGAUAUCAGCAUGGAGGUACCACUUCCUCCCUUUUAUUACAGUCACUCAAAUCACAUUGAGGACAAUGCUCAGUUCGGUUGGGGGGUAUGAGGAAGGAAGUAUUCUAAACCUUUUUGGUAUUGCAAUUAUAUUGGUUAAUUAGUUGUAGAUUUUACUUUUUACUAGUGUUACUCUAUUCUCCAUGAAUUUUGAGGAAAAAUUUUCAAAUUAAACCAAGAGAAAUUGAACUGUUGUUUUUCACUUGACUUAGAGUAUGGAUUAUGCUUACUAAAGUGGUUCAAUUGUUGAAACUUCUACUGAAAUUGAAUUGAGUUCUUCCACUUUAAGCUAUCCACACACUGUGCACAUUAGUUUCCGAUUAUAAGAUGAAAAGCUAUUUCCCUCUUGACUUAGUAUAUUUUUGGGACUUGGUAUAUUUGACCUCAUUUGAUAAAAAUUGAAACACCCUGCAAAAGGCCAAUGAGCCUUUGAAAUAAAGAAAGUUGUUUGCUUGCCUUGAAACCCGAGCAAGGUCUGAGGGGUAUAUGGUGAAAAUCUUUAAAGCCUGGUGCCCUAAGCCUUAAUUGGUUGGGAGUCACCGACCUCAAUGCUCGUUACAAGGGUGAAUAGGUAGAGUUAGCAUAUGGUAGAUGCUUGGGUAUUAGAAAUUCAUUCUUAAAAGUCCGGGGAAAAAUCCGAGGAGUUAGUGGUUGAAAGAUCCUUAAAACUUGGUGCCCUAAACCUUAAUUGGUUGGGAGUCAUCGAUGGACCCCCAUUACAUGGACAAGUCAGAAAGAGUACCCCAUAAAGCUACCUUAAAAAAAAAAAAAAAAAAAAAAAAAAAAAAAAAGAUGAAAGUGUGUUCUUUUCUUAUUGAUUUUGGUCAGUUUGCUAAAGUGUUGAAAAGAGAUAGGUUGGGGGGUGAGAUUAGUAGCAUAUUAUUCUCGGAACCUAAGGAACCAAUACACAUAGAUUUUUGUGGAAGAUUGAAGUUUAGUUCUUAGAAAAUGAAAUGAUUUUAAAACUUCAGUUUGCAUAAUGCACUCCCUUGAUUGACAGUGUUUAGCAUAGGUGUUAUGACUCUUGUUGAGAUUUGGGUUUGUAUUUCUUUAAUGAUUCAUGUGAGAAAUAGAUCAUCAUGCCACUUGAGAAUUAUUUUCCUUUUAGCAUGAUGUUGUAAAUUUUAGAUUAGUUUGCUAUUUAUUUUUUAUUUUCUCUCCUAUAUUGCUAAGGGACUAGCAAUAUGUCGGUUGGGGGGAGUGAUUACUACUCAAAAAGUGCUAUUUGAUAGCCUUUAAUUAAUCCUUUUUAACACUUUUGAGUAGUAGUUUAGGCCUUUUAACUCAAUUGGCAUGUUAAGGAUCCUUUAAAGCAAUUUUGAUCACUUUGUGCAAGUUUUGGUGUUUUUGUUAGUAUUUUGAUCACCAAAGCAAGUCAAGAAUGAGGAGAACUAUGAGGAAUCAUGGGCAAAGCUUAGAAUUCAAUUGCCAAGAGUGAAUCCGGAUUGCAAGGAGAAAAAGCAAAGAGAAUCUGUCAUGAAGCCUAUUCUUGAUGACAGUCGUAGCAGCCACUUUUGGAGCACUUUCUGAAGUCCAAAUGAUGCAAGCUAUAUACCAUUUCAAAGCUCAGGAAGUCAACAAUCCAAUGCUUCAAACGGUGCGCGAUUCGGAGUUGAAACGAAGAAGUUGCAGCCAUUACAAGCCAGUCACUCUAAAGUGUUGCGGAAUCAGCCUUUUGUUGCGAGAAUUUCGCAGCACUUUUGUACAGUAAGGUGUUUCUCCUUCUGACGAUGCACGAACCAUGCCGCGAGAGGGAAGCUAGGAACUUCAAGAUGGAAGCCAACUUUGCAGCCUGGUGAAGAUAGCUUGGUCUUGCGAAAUAAUUUCGCAGCCCUCUUGGGUGUCUGCGAAAUUUCGCAGGCACCACUUUUUUCCUGCGAAAUGGCUCCGGAAGCCUCCCGAAGCUUGCUACCGACAUUGGGAGAUAUUUUCCAUUAGAUUUUUGUUGUCUAAAUUCCAAAAUACUCCUUGUAAACCACCAAUUACAUGAUUCCUUAGUUUUUAAGUUAGUAAAAAGACCAAAUAUCUAUGUAAUAAUUAGUUUUAUAUUAGUUUGCUAUAAAUACCUCUCGGGAGCAUGUUCUCAGAGAGGAGUUCCUUCUGUAACCAUUUUGGUAAGCAAGUAAAGUCUUUUCUUUCUACUGCCUUACCUUCUCACUUUGUAUUUUCAUUUUAUUUCUAAGUUAUGAAUUCUCUGAGGAGCUUUCCCCAGAGAAUGAGUAACUAAACCUCCAAUUCCUUGGAGCUAAGGUUGCCGGGGAAGGUUCCAAGUGCAAGAAUGCAAAGCUCUGUGGUUUUAGCUAGUAAUGAAGAGGAAGUGAAAUCCUUUAGUGAUUUCAAUGUUUUUAGUUAACUUAAAACACCUUGGAGUCACCUGGGCCAACACUUGGUAAGGCAAGUGAUUUCCAACCGUGGAAAUGCACUAGUUUACCCCUUGCGAGCCUCUGGUAGGUGACUUCAAGGUAGGAUUUUCUGGAAUUACCAACACUUGGUAAGCUUUUGGACUCCUAGGAGACAUCCAUUAGUUAUCUCUUGCGAGUUUGUGAAGGGGAAUCCAAGGUUAAAGAUCACCUUGAAUGGUAAGUGCUCGUGAGAGGCAUGAACCAUUGCAAGUUGUAUCAGUGAGAGAAUUAAAGUGAAAUCUAAUUGAAGGAGUCUCUGUACAUCACCGGUUAGAGAAUUGACUAUAAGUUGAAUCUCUAAUGCGAGGAAAUGAACCAUCUGACCGGAGCUAUGUCUUUUGCAUGAGGAACCACCCCAGUGAACCUAAAUCUCCAAGGAAUGCUUUUCUUCCUAAAUUAUUCCAAACUUCUGUUAAGUUAGUUAGUUUAAGUCUAAACCUUUACCAAUCAAACUUUGUGUUUUAUUCCUUAAGCUAACCGUGAAAUGAAACAAAACCAAUUCACUUGGAAUUGGUAUCCUUGAUUGCUUGCAAAUCAUUCCCAGUGAACGAUCCUUAGAGCCACUAUACUAUAGUAGCUUUGUAUUUGCUACCCUAGUGUAUGGUGUUAUAGGUAUAAAUUUUGUUGAUCACUUCCUCAAUCAAGGAACACCAGCUGAACACAAAUCAGCUGAGACACCAAUUGGGCAUGAGUCAGUGCGUUAGAGGAUCAAGAAGAAGAAAAAGAAGGAACUGUUGGAAUUAGUAUGAGUGUGAAGAGAAAAGUAUAUAAAUAAGGGGAAGUAAAAGCAAAGUUCAAAAAGCUAUAUUUUUUUAUUGUUGGUGUAUGGUUGCAUGAUUAUCCCUAUAAAUAAUAGGAGUUUUUUGGUAUUCUACUAGUAGUUGAAGCAUAAUUUCAUAAAUUAAUAUUUAGAGCGGGGUGGGGUGAGUUGUGACAAAAUUCAUACCCGUCCCAAACCUUGGUUCAGAUUUUUAAAAUAUUCUCAAACUUAUCAUAUACCCAACUUUUAUAUUUCAUACUUGUCCUAAUAGAGGCACGUUAGGCCGGGUUACUUGAGUAACCUACAUAAUUGUCAUCCCUAGUUGAAAUACACUUUUUGGCAGUGGCCACCAACUGAGCUAGAAGCUUGAUUGAUUGACCUACAAGAUUAGUUCUCAUCAUUUUAAAAAAAGUUCUGGCUUUGGUUGUGAGUGCAAUUGAAUCUAAACUGGCAUUUGCUUAAUGCAUCUACUUCAAUCCUAAACUUCUUACUUCUUAAGCCUCAAUUGUUGUUAGGAUUUUGGAAAACCCAUUUCCUUAAAUUGUAAAUUUAAGAUAAAAUAAAAUAAAAGUGAGACAUUUCUUGAUUGAAUAUUGUUAAAGGUCCCUUGGCAUUAAGACUUGGUUGAAGCCUUGGAAGAUUAGUGGAACUCUCAACAUGUGUUUGAAUCUUGAGGAGAGUGGAUGUAAGCCAAAAUUUUGUCAAACCAUUAUACAAAUUGAGUUUGAAUCCUCAUUUCUUGAUUUCUUAUUUAUUUGCUUUUUCUUAUUAUUACUUGAAUUGUCAUUUGCAUUCAUUAAUGUUAAAAUUGGUUAUAAUUAACCAACACUAAUUCUCUUUCCCCUUCCCUUUCUUGGGUGUAAACCUAGGUUGGAUUAACUAGAUAAAUCUAUUAAGAUGGUAAAAGAAUAAUUAUUCUUAACAUACAUAAGAUCAUCUUCAAUCAAAUGACUCAUUGGCUAAUAUGUUGAAUUUGCUUAUUACUUGCAACUCAAAAUUGUGUUCUAGUUGUGUCAAGUCCCCAGUGUAUGGACAUUAAAUUUGUAGUACGUGAUGAGUAAUUAGAUGGUCCAACUCCAAGAAAGUGAUUGAAAAGUAGUUCAAGAAAGGUGCAAAAGGGAAUUGUUUUGGUAUUUUCGUUUUUAUUCUUGAAGGUGGCAGAGCUAAAAUUUGAGAAAUCAAGCAAAACAUACUGAAAUUACAUUGAAAGAAAGAAGAUGGGAGUUAAUGUCUUGCAGUACAUGAUAAGGACUUCAUGCAUGUAGUGUGACCCAUGUCUUGGACUGAUGCCAACUCACGGUUACACUUAUACCCUUGGUUCUCUCUUUACUACCUUGGCUAACCUAGAUCAGGCUAUGAGAUAGGCUCCUCACCACACCAUUACUUGCCCAUUAAUUAGAGACAUUUUCAAGCAAUGAGGUAACAUGGUGACACCAAGAGGGUCUAUUCCUCGCCCGGAACAAGUCUAGACUUGGUCUCAAAAAAAUGGAGAAAAAUGAGGUGUCGUUAUGUAGAAAUACAACAACCAUGCCUUCCUCAUUACUUAGAUUCAGAAUGUGAAGGUGAAAUUGAGAAACAGAAACUCUUGAAACCAAAAUGAAAAUUGAUACUUUUACGAAGAAUUACAACAACAUUAGAGGAAGACUACAUUCUUCCUCUUUAUUCCUACAUUUCUACACUACUUCUACUCCACUCCAUAUUUCUACAUACAUCUUUAAUCAGUCUUCCCUCCUUUAUAUAGAGCCAUCUUCACACAAAUUUCGCAAGGUAGAAAAGAGGAAUGAAACUUGGAGCAAGGUUCGACUACUGGUUGUAGCUUGUCAAGGCUGGAAGUGAACUUUUCUUGGCUUUCUGGGCAUGGGUAGUAACUUGUGGGUUCCUGUUUGGCAUAAAAAUGGCUAGAACAUGUGGCACUAUCUUGUUGGAUGAUGUGUCAAGCAUGUGGCAGCCAUCUAGUGGCGAUUAUGUCAAUUUUGGGAUGGAGAGUUGGCAUCCAAUUGCAAAGAAAUAUGACGUCUACCAACAUGCAAUGUAAACCUAUGUAGAUCAUAUGAAGAUAGAGAGGAAAAAUAUAGAAAUGGAUAUAUACCUAGAACUAGCUUUUUAUUAAAUGAAACGGAGAGACAACAAUGAAGGAAAAUAAAAUUUUUUGGCUUAUAUCAAAGAGUUCACAUUGUGUUACCCUAGGUUUUCUUAAAACUUACUUUUAUGAUAACAAAAAAGAAAAAACCAUUAUUGUUUAAUCCUUUGUUUUAAACGCAUGUAAGGUGUAAUUAAGUUAGUUCAAUGCAUUAAUUUAAGAAACUUGACCUAUCAAAAGUACAAAAUUAGAUGAAAUCCAUUUCAAUGGUUAAAAUGAUCAAAAUCAAACUUUUUCUAAGUAUUUUUUAAAAGCAUCAAUAGUGAAAGACAAUUUUAUAUUUAGUCGGAGUUUGGACAAAACUGAAAAACACACAAAAUCCAAGCGACCAUCUCUAGCUUGGAUGGUCGCUUGAUCCCACCUAGAGAUGUGCAUGAGUAAAAGGAUUUGAAAAUGGAAAUUGACUAUGUAGUCGAUCAAUUAACUUUGCAACAUCAUAUGCAAUCCUAAUUGCUAGUCAUCUAAUCAAUUAGGUAGUCAAUCAACAGGCCAAAAAUAUGUUUAUAAUGACUAUUUUGUACAAAAACCACCUGUAUAGUUAAAUAUAAUGCAUUUCAUUUAUAAAUCUUCUAAUUCUUGAAUAACGAUCCUAUCAUCCUUUGAAAGUUUUUAUUACACUUUUUUUACUUUUGUUCUAAAACUUACACAUCACCCUUAAUUGUACCAUGAGAACCUAGCUAUUUUUUAUUUUUUUUUUUGUAAUUCAUCAAAGUUAGCUUUUGUAUUCAUUGUUGUAUUAUUUUUAGUAUAACUUAGAAAGCUAGUGUUUUCAAGUGAGUAAAAUUAACUUGUAAAUAUUGUAAAGAUUCAUCGACAUGUAUCUUAAACUAAGUGUACAAGUUAAAACAUUUGCUAGUAGAUUUUCUCAAAAUUUAGAAUAGAGCUUGAGACUAUUGAAAUAGGUGGGGUUGCACCAAACCACAUCACAUCGUUGUUUGCACCUUUUUUCACUCUCUUUUACUUAGUUGCUCUAUAUUUGUUGUCUAGUAAUAUCCUAUAGGCUUGAUGGGUUAGGGAGCAUCCCUUUGUGAAAAAAUUUUAUUCAAUCCUUAGUUGUAUCACGCAUAUAUAAAAUGCCUCAUUGUUUUAAUGGUAUUCAGUCGUGGCAUCACAGAUAUGGGCAUCUAAAUUUUAAAAGUUUGAAACUUUUAUCUAAAGAAAAUAUGGUGCUUUGCCUUUUUGUAAAGCAUGUUGAUGAAAUCCAUGAGAAUUGUGUACUUGGGAAGCAACACCGAGAUGACUUUUUUUUUUUUUUUAUAAUAUUGUUUGUCCAAAUUCCCUACAAAUUAGGCCACCAGAUGUUCAUAAUUCUCCCUUCUUGAAUUUGAAAACUCGGACAAUUGGACAAUGCGACACCUAAGUCCGGUUUCUAAAUGCUAAAGUGAAAGGGUAGGUAUGGACCAUUGAAAUGUGAUCACAACUUUUCUCUGUAGCCAUGUUGUCUCUUUUUUCUUUUGCAUGAUUUUCUUACCUUAACAGAAUCAUAGACUUGUUUAGUCUCUAAAUGGGAUUAAUUUCAUCCAGCUUUAAGCUACUAUAUUAUAUCUAGGUGGAGGACUUUUAAGAGUGCAACCGACAUAGAGCACAUGGAAGUGGGUAUAUGGGACAUGAAAUUUCUUCUUAUAAAGAUUGCAUGAUUUUUAUAUUAGAGUUGUUGAGGCGCUAUGUAUUUAGCUUGUUUUGCAGUUAAAUUAAUUGGAUAAGUAGACAUUGGCGUUUCUAAAUCUACUGUGAAGUGCUUCAUGUACGUGUGAAGUAUUAGAAAUUUCUUUCUUGGCAACUUGUUUUUCUUUGCGGUCUACUGAUAGGUUUGACUAAAAUUAUAUUCCCUGUCAUGCUAAUUAAUUUUCACGUGCAUGCUCAAAAGAAAAGUAUGACCUUAGUGCACCAAAAUCACUUUGAUUAAUUUGUGAUAGGUUUUUGUGCAUCAUGACAUUAGCCUUAUUCAUUUAGAUAAUGUUUAGUUUUUAGAAAGUAUUAAGAAAAGGAAAAUAAAUAUUAAGAAAAAUAUUCUUAUAUUUGAUUGUAUUAUGAAAAAUAUCAUAAAAAAAUCAAAUAUAAUUUAAAUUAAUUAAUAAUUUAUACAUUUUCAAAUUAUUUAAUCUUUAUAUUGAAGAUAUAAUAUAAAUGAAAUGAGUUUUAAGUAUUAUAUAAAAGUGAUUUAUUGAUCUUACAUAUAUAUAUUUCUUUUUUUUUUCCUUCUAUUUUUUCUCUUUAUUUUAUUUUCCUUAUGUUUUCCUCAACAUUUUCCGGAACCAAACAUAGCCUUAGGAAAUCCACAAUUACCUUCAACUGAGUAGAUUCUGUUGUUUUAGCAAUGUUAGGCUGCUAACUUGUGUUGGUACGAACCUAUUAAGCCUAAAGAUGUAAUUAGUUAGGAUAUUCUUUUCCCUCUAGUCUUGUAGCUCCACGUGUACAGUUGGUUAGGACCUCAUUGUAUAUAAUGCUUGCCCUGUUAUUGUAGAAGACAACAAAGAUAAAUAAUAUUAACAUUUUUCCUCUCAUCUCUCUCUGUUUCCCUCUGUUUUCAUCUCCUCUCUCAUCUUGGUAUCAGAGCCUCCAUGGCUUCUUUCAAAGAAACCUCCGAAUCACCUUCUGCUAGCAUUGUUAAUGUGCAAAACCCAUUAUCUCAAUCAAACAACCUUCCUUCACCAGUAGCCACACCCUCUUUUUCUUUCUCGUCUAUGAAUCAACCUCUCACAGUGAAGCUGGAUAAUGGGAACUACCUCAUAUGGAAGAAUUAGCUUCUAAAUGUCAUCAUUGCUAACGGACUCGAUGAUUUCAUUGACGGAUCUCGACCCUGCCCUCCUCGAUUUCUCGAUCUGCAACAACAAACCCUCAAUCCAGAGUACUCAGCUUGGCAGAGAUACAAUCGACUUCUGAUGAGUUGGCUGUACGCAUCCUUGUCCAAAGAUAUAAUGGCUCAGAUUGUUGGGUAUUCAACAGCUAUGGAGAUUUGGAAUGCCCUUAAUCAGAUUUACUCUGCCUCUUCUAUGGCGCGGUUUACUGAGCUUCGCACCAAGCUUCAAACGCUCAAGAAAGAUGGACUCUCAGUUGGUGAAUAUAUUCAAAGGCUCAAAUCCAUUUGCAAUAGUCUUGCAGCAAUAGGAGAACCAGUUUCUGAGAAAGACCAUCUUAUCUAUUUGUUCAAUGGAUUAGAUUGUGAGUAUUAUUCUUUUGUUACCUCCAUUCAAAAUCGAUCUGACCAACCAACUAUUGACAAAAUCCAUAGCCUAUUGCUUAGCUAUGACUUCCGGCUUGAACAACAAAACUCUGUUUCUCUCCAUUCUGCCCAAGUCCAUAUGGCUCAUCUGAACAAGAAACCUUAUAAAUCAACUCCUCAACCUACAUUCAAUCAUAUUCACAUUCAACCUAGAUACUCUUCUCCACCUUUUAAGCCAACCACUAGUCAAUAUCAACCCAACAUUUUGGGCAAACCACAACCACAACCAUGACAGCCUCAACCUCAAUGGAAACCACAUUUUUCAAUCUAAAAUCAAAAGCCUCAGCGCCAAAUUUGUGGUAAAUUUGGACACACUGCUCUUAUUUGCUUCCAUCACACAAAUUUGAACUAUUCACCCCAACCUUCUCCUAAAUCUUUCAAUACUGUUCUCACCACAAAUUCCCAGCUCCCUAAUCCUCCAAAAUUUUCUUACCCUACAAUGGCUCAUCCUGCUGCUACGCAUAACACGGUUCCCGAUACAAAUUGGUACAUGGACUCAGGUGCUACACAUCACUUUACUCUGGACAUCAACGUGCUUGACACUGUGACACCAUUUAGUGGUUCAGAACAGGUGACAGUUGGGAAUGGUAAGCAACUCUGUAUCUCACAUCUUGGUACUGCAAAACUACCAUCUUCGUAUUCUCCUCCUGUUCUACAUCAGGUAUAUCACACUCCAAAAAUUUCAAAUAAUCUUAUUAGUGUUAAAAAAUUGUGUUCUGAUAAUAAAGUUUUUGUUGAAUUUUAUGCCACUCAUUUUCUUGUCAAGGAUCAGGUUUCGAAGAGAGUUCUCCUUUAGGGUCAACUUGAUAAUGGCUUAUACAAAGUUCAGUCGUCAUGCUCUCCUUCUGCUGUUUCCUUUCCUCCUCAAGUUUUCAUAGCCAACAUCAAGUAUCCAAAUCUGUGGCACAAGAGACUAGGCCACCCAGCUUUAUCUGUUGUUAAUCAAAUCUUGGAUUCUUGUAACAUUGCUCGAACACAGAAAAUUUGUUUUAAUUUUUUAAAUUCUUGUCAAUUAGCAAAGAGCCACAGGCUUCCUUUUUCUCUGUCUCCAUCCAUUGCAGAAAAACCUUUUGAGUUAAUUCAUACAGACCUAUGGGGUCUUUCGCUCGUUCGCUCUAUUUCUGGUGCUCUUUAUUUUUUACUUUUCAUUGAUGAUCAUACUCGUUUUACUUGGUUUUAUUUGCUCAAAACAAAAGAUGAAGCAUAUCCUACUUUUCUCAAGUUUCAAGCUCUCAUUGAAAAUCAAUUUAAUACCAAGAUUAAGGCUGUCCAAUCUGAUUGGGGAGGUGAGUUUCGAUCUCUCUCCAUACCGUUUUCAAAUAUGGGCAUUGUCUAUUGUUUAUCGUGUCCAUACACCUCACAACAGAAUGGGCGAGUUGAGCGAAAAAAUCGCCAUGCGAUUGUCCUUUCUUGCUUGCUCUAUGCCCUUAUCUUAUUGGCCUUAUGCCUUUCAAACUGCCACUUACCUUAUUAAUCGUCUCUCUACCCCUGUGCUGCAUCAUCAAUCCUCUUACUUCGCACUCUAUCACAAACUCCCAACUUAUACUCAUCUUAAGGUCUUUGGUUCCUCUUGUUUUCCGUAUUUGCACCCUUAUAAUACCCAUAAACUCCAAUACAGGUCACUAGAGUGUGCUUUUCUUGGUUACAGUUCACACCACAAAGGUUAUCUAUGUCUUGACAUUCAUUCUAGCAGGGUGUAUAUUUCUCGCCAUGUGAUUUUUAAUGAAGAUUCUUUUCCAUUCAAGAAUUUGAAAUCUUCUCUCUCUCAGUCUAUUUCUUCUUCCUCUUCUUUAUAAGUUCCUCUGUUCAUUCUCUUGCCUCCCCUUUCCCCAUCUCCUCUUAUUUCUUCAUCUAUACCUCAUUCUUUUCCCUCUUCUUCUUCUACCUCUAGUACUUGUUCCCCUCUCGUUGCUCCUACCUCUCUUCCUUCCUCUUCACACUCUGUGUCUCCAUCUAUUCCACCUCCUUCUCCACCUUCUCCGAGUGUGGACCUGCUUGCACCUUGUGUGAAUACAAAUUUACAUACUUCUUCUCGCACUCACAAUAUUCAUCCUAUGGUGACUAGAUCUAAGGUUUGUAUCUAUAAACCUAAGUUGUUGUUGAGUGUCUCCAUAGGUUCUCUCACUAAGCCUACUUCCUUUCUUCAAGCUAUUAAAGAUCCUUCAUGGAAGCAAUCCAUGGAAUUCGAGUUUGCUACCCUUCAACACAACAAGACCUGGCAUUUGGUUCCUUCACCUUCCUCAGGCGAAGUAAUCGGUUGUAAAUGGGUCUAUAAGCUAAAGCUUCAGCCUGAUGGCUAAAUUGAGAGAUACAGCCUGCUUAGUAGCUAAGGGUAUCAUCAAAUUGAAGUAUGGACUACUUCGAAACAUUCAGCCUGAUNNNNNNNNNNNNNNNNNNNNNNNNNNNNNNNNNNNNNNNNNNNNNNNNNNNNNNNNNNNNNNNNNNNNNNNNNNNNNNNNNNNNNNNNNNNNNNNNNNNNAGCUUCAGCCUGAUGGCUAAAUUGAGAGAUACAAGGCCUGCUUAGUAGCUAAGGGUUAUCAUCAAAUUGAAGGUAUUGACUACUUCGAAACAUUCAGCCUGAUUGUCAAGCUUUCUACUAUCUGUAUUGUGCUCAGUCUUACUUUUUCCCAGAAUUGGUGUAUUAGACAGCUGGAUGUUCAUAAUGCCUUCUUACAUGGUGACUUAGCUAAAGACGUUUUCAUGGAACAACUGCCUGGAUUUGUUGAUCCUCUCUAUCCUACUCAUGUCUGCAAGUUGGAUAAGUCUCUCUACUGUCUUAAAUAGUCACCUCGGGCUUGGUAUACUAAGCUGAGUACUUCUCGCUACACUUGGGAUUUGUUACUUCUAAGAAUGACUCUUCCUUAUUUAUUUGUCAUUCGUCUCAUGGGUUACUUCUUGUUCUUGUCUAUGUGGAUGAUAUAAUCGUCAUUGGGAGCCACUCUCCUCAGGUUACUCACCUUAUCCAACAGUUGCAUCAUUAGCUUUCUUUAAAGGAUCUUGGUCCUUUACAUUAUUUUCUGGGCUUGGAGGUUCAUCACACCCCUACUGGUAUUCACCUCAGCCAAGCAAAGUAUAUCACUGAUCUCCUUACCCGGGCGGCUAUGUUGGAUGCCAAGCCAUGUCCCACUCCUAUGUCCUCCAACACAUAUCUCUCUUUUCAUGAUGGAGUGGCUCUUGAAAAUGGUUCAGAUUAUCGAAGUUUUGUUGGUGCCCUUUAGUAUUGUACCAUGACACGCCCAGAUAUAGCUUUUGCAAUAAAUAAAGUGUGUCAAUUCAUGCACCAUCCCUCUAAUGUUCACUGGCAGGCUAUAAAACGUAUUCUCCGGUACUUAAAGGGCACAUCUCAUUUUGGUCUCUUCCUACAGCCUUCCUAUGACUUCAACAUCACUUGCUAUACAAAUGCCGACUGGGCUUCCUGUCCUGAUGACAAGUGUAGCACCAGUGGCUACUGCCUCUUUCUUGCCUCUAAUCUGGUUUCUUGGUCAUCUUCCAAACAAAAAGUGGUCUCCCGCUCCAGCGCCGAAUCAGAGUACCGAGGGGUAGCAAAUGGGGCUGCUGAAAUUGCUUGGACUGAAUCUCUUCUUUGUGAACUUUCCAUUACUCCCCCUCCCCUCAUUCUCUGUGACAAUAUCAGUGCCACGUACUUAGCUGCCAAUCCUAUUUUGCAUGCCCGCACCAAACAUGUGGAAAUCGACUAUCACUUUGUCACGGAACGUGUUCUUCAAUGCUCUCUUUUUGUCCAGUUUACACCUUCUGAUGAUCAACUUGCUGAUUGCAUGACCAAGCCUCUCUCCACCCAACGUUUCAUCACUCUACGCUCCAAGCUCACUGUUCUCACUAGACCAAUGAGCUUGAGGGGGGAUGUUAAGCCUAAAGAUGUAAUUAGUUAGGAUAUUCUUUUCCCUCUAGUCUUGUAGCUCCACGUGUACAGUUGGUUAGGACCUCAUUGUAUAUAAUGCCUGCCCUGUUAUUGUAGAAGACAACAGAGAUAAAUAAUAUUAACAUUUUUCCUCUCAUCUCUCUCUCUGUUUCCCUCUGUUUUCAUCUCCUCUCUCAUCUGAACCAAAUGAUCCAUGUUAACCUUGGCUUGGUUUGAUUUGGCUCUAUCUUAGAGAGCUCAAGGAUCACGUCAACUCUGGUUUCUACUAUUCAGGUCCAUUCCCAUAUGAACUGGUUCAAAUUUGAGAAAAUGGUAACAGACCUUUAGUGAUGUUGGUUUGGAGCCAGUUGCCAAACCCGCCCUGAGCUUUACCACUAAUGUCAAGGGAGAAAGCCAUUUGAACAAAAACAAUAGCUUCAAGGGACUGAAUCGUGGAUGAAAUCUGAUCCACAUUUCUUCUCAUUUUGGAAACAAAUGAGAACUUAACUAAGAAGAUUCUACGGCCUCAUAGUGCUUUUCCUGAUCUAAGGUUGGUUCGUUUCCCAAACUGUGAGAUGCACGUGCCAGACUUCAGAACUCUCACGCUCAGGAGUGUAUCCACGUGGUGGACAUAAGAUGGUGGCUUAAGAUCUGGUGUCGGUGGCUUUACUUUACUAGGAGAGUAGUGUGUCUUCAUCUCAUUCACUGCCGGAGGGUGGCGUAAGCAGUGACGCUAAGGUGGGGCACAGUCAAUAUCAUUUGCAUUUGACCAUUAUAGUUUUCUCCCGGCUUUAAAGUAACCUUAUCGUGAUAAAGGAUUACUAGCACUAGUUCAGAUGAUAGUCAUGUUAAAUUCGGACCAUGUUUGUGUCACAUUAUCAGCAACCAUGUGUUUAUGGUUCAUGCUUUCUGCAACUAAAAUUGAUAUAUAACCAGGUGAACUUCAAUCUAAAUUCUGAAAGUACUCAUGUGAUAGAUGGUGCCCGUCUGCAGAGUCCAUCAAUUGAAAAAUGGAGUGAGUGUAUCUAUAAGAGGGAAGGCUUGGAAAAUGUUCAGUUUUCUGGGAAUUCAACAAGGAUCUAAAAUAGAUUGUUUUCUUUGCUGAUUUCAAUGGUUGAAAUUUGAGAAGAUUGUGUCCACAUAACACAACUAUUACUGGUCCUUCUGUUGCAAUUUAUCCUCUAAAGCUCUAGCAUGUCUUCCAAUUCCCACUUCCCUGUUACUCCAGGAAAGCUAUUUCUGUCAUUGUGAAGAAGAAAAGAGAAUGUACAUAUCGAUGCUUUUAAGUGACUGGAGCAUUUAUAUCAGGUGGUCUGCAGCCAUAUAUGCCACUUUGUGAAGAUUGGAACAGUCAAUCACUAGGCUAUAUAUUAGUGUGGCCCAGCCACUUUAAUCAAGGACAAGUCUUCAUACUUAAAGUCAAAUUCUGCCUUUAGUCUCAUUAUAAAUUUCUGUUUAAAUAUUAAGCAAACAUUUGUUUAAUGCGAUUAAGACAGUACUAACUCAAUACCUGUUCUAUUUUUGGAUGCAAAUGCUUGAUGGUUUCAUCAUUGGAUGGGAUAAAGGUGCAUUCAUGAUUAGGAAUACUAGUAGUUAUAUUUUAAUUCUCUUUUUUCUCAAUGAGACUUGUUGGCACAAUUUUGCUGUUGAGAAACCUACCUCUCCAUGGAAAAUAAGUUGUGAUUGAUAGUACUGGAUAUAUUCAAGAAAUCUAAAUAUAGAUAGCACAAAAUAUUAUCGACAUAAAUAGCAUUAACAGCGUACGUAUGUCUCAGUGCUCAUCAGCUAUAAGCAUGGGGCAAACACUUACUAUGAGCAACUUACGUCAAAAUUCCAGAAUAGGACAUAGAAGUGACAGAUAUAGAACAUUGCAUAUGAGUCACAAGAAAGGAAAUUACGGGUGCAUAGCAGCUCUUAUUUUACAUACUACUACUCAUACUGAUCAAAGUCACUCAGUUGGGAUGGGUGGGAGUAGGAGGUUUGUGGGGUGGCUUGUGCGGAGGAGUUGGCAGCUUCUUUCCAGGACCUGGUUGCUUCUCUGCUGGAGUUGAAGGAGGCUUAAUCUUCCGAGGUGGCUUGUAUGAGUCUUCAGCAUUCUCAGCUGGAGGGUGACCAGGGUUGUGACCAUAAUGUGGUGGCUUCUCUCCCUUAGGUGGUUUGCCAACUGGGGUUGGUGGCUUGUAUGAGUCUUCAGCAUUCUCAGCAGGAGGGUGACCAGGGUUGUGACCAUAAUGUGGUGGCUUCUCUCCCUUAGGUGGUUUGCCAACUGGGGUUGGUGGCUUGUGUUCUGGGAGUGGCUUCUCCCCCUUGGGAGGUUUUUCCAAUGGGGUUGGUUUGUGUUCAGGAGGUGGCUUCUCCACUGGAGGCUUGUGUUCAGGAGGUGGCUUCUCCACCGGAGGCUUGUGUUCAGGUGGUGGCUUCUCCACCGGAGGCUUAUGCUCUGGUGGUGGCUUCUCGAAUGGGGGAUGCUUAGGAUAAUCAGCAAGUGAGGGGGCGGUGAGAACCACCAGGCCAAGCAACACCACUAGCAAAUAUGUAGGAGACAUCUUUGGGUUUGGGCUCAGAUGGUGCAAAACUAGGAGAAUUGGCUAGCCUUUUAUAGCGGAUCGUACCCAAUAAUGAAAUGACACGUGUCAUUAUGACCCAUGUGUAAUGGGGUCGAUUUGGGUCCUACAGUGUUGAAAACUUCGACAUCCACUUUUGGCCUUUUGCUUUCUCUACAGCCGCCUUGCUUUUUCCCUCUUUCCUUUUGUUUUCCUCCUGCCCCAUUCUAUCAACUAAACACAAUUAUGUAGUUGUUUAAUUCUUAAAUGAGAUAUUAUCCGUCAAUCGUAUUAUAUUUUAUCAAGAGAGAACGGAGUGCAAUGUGGCUGUAAUUUUAUCGUUUAGUUUUAUCUCUUGGACCACUGCAUUUUUGUUAAGAGGUGCAAUAAUACACGUCUUUAUCUGCCAUUCAAUAUUUACAGUAAAGAGAGGGCACAAAACUCUUCACUUCGCACCAUAAUUAUUUUGUUUUCUGGACACCCCGGGGCCCUUUGGUUGGUUUGGGGGUCAGAAAGUGAACAUCAUAGGGGGUUUUUCCCUUAUGUGCAUUUGUAUCUGAUGGCUUUAACUCGCCUUGUUACUACAAAGAAACUGUCACAGAUAGGAACUUAUUCCAGGCUGAGUAUCUCCUCAUAGACCCUAUAAAAGAAGACAAGUCAUAAUGAACAUCUAACCUUUGUUCAAUUUGAUUCAAUGCCCCCAUUGUGUCCAUCUCACAAAUCUGAAUUAUUAUAUCCAUUGAAUACAUAAAUUAAUGAAGAAAAUAUGAAACCCAAGAUACAUCUCUGCACAACCUCAACCCUGGUUGCUAUGUUUCCCUUCUAUUCACAUGAUUUGAUGCUAAUUGCCAAACUUGCAACAAGCCCUGAGUUUGACACCUAGUAUCGAUGGGCGAAUUUAAAGUCUCCUCCAAACAUAUAUUCCACAGCUUGAAGCUCACAGAAGAUGUUACAGGCAGGGAAAAACCUUCAGAGUUCGCUACCAAAGAUAAUUAUUAAGGAGAUAUCACAAAGAGAAUUCCAAGGGGUCUGAAUCAAAGACAAAUUGGUCGUUCGUGGGGGUUCUUACUUUCUUUUGGGUAUAACUCACUGAGGGCACUGUCUUUGUUAUUUGCAUUUCACAUUUAGAGUUCUGUUCUGGAAACAUAUAAAAGGAGCAUCAUUUUGUUCUUGGGUAACCCAUAGUCGUGAGUGGGUCCAUUUGCAUGCUACUUAGUUGAAAAGUUGGACCAUUUGCUCCGACGCCUACCUCCCGGAUUCCAUGCUCGGAUAAAACAAGAAUAAAAAAAAUAUUUAUAAUUUACAAAUGGGGGAAAGAAAAAAAUGUCAACAACAAACCAGGAAAAAAGAGUAGUAAAAUUCAUGUCACAUGCUAGUGAGAGAAGGGGUUGUUACACUCACUCGAAGUUCUUUCCAAAAUAUCGCAUGGUAUUUUAUUUUAUGUGUCAGCGCAGUUGUGAAUGGAACGUGCAAAAGUCCAAAUUGGCGUUUUUCCUUUUCCCGUGUAGGAUGGCGACCUUUAAUAAAUAUUUAAAACAAAAAACGAAAAAAAGGAGGGAAAAGGGAUCAGAAAAGAUAAAACAAUGUGUACAAGAGCUCAAUUAGUUUGCAAAUUACUGUUUGGAUUUUGAUAGUAUUUUAUUUGUCCAUCUAUAUUUGAUGGAAAAGAGAAUUUAAGAUAUUUCUGAAACAAAAGCAUUAGUGUAAAACUAAAUUAAGGUAUAAUUAAGUUAGUUCAAUGCAUUAAUUUAAGAAACUUGAUCUAUCCAAAGUACAAAAUUAGAUGAAAUCCAUUUCAAUGGUUAAAAUGAUCAAAAUCAAACUUUUUCUAAGUAUUUUUUAAAAGCAUCAAUAUUAAAAGACAAUUUUAUAUUUAGUCGGAGUUUGGACAAAACCAAAAAGCACACAAAAUCCAAGCGACCAUCUCUAGCUUGGAUAGUCACUUGAUCCCACCUAGAGAUGUGCAUGAGUAAAAGGAUUUGAAAAUGGAAAUUGACUAAAUAUUUAGUUGAUCAAUUAAAUUUGCAAUGUCAUAUGCAAUCCUAAUAGCUAGUCAUCUAAUCAAUUAGGUAGUCAAUCAAGUGUUUGUAAUGACUAUUUUGUACAAAAAACCACAUGUAUAGUUAAAUAUAAUGCAUUUCAUUUAUAAAUCUUCUAAUUCUUGAAUAACGAUCCUAUCAUCCUUUGAAAAUUUUUAUUACACCUUUUUUACUUUUGUUCUAAAACUUACAUAUCACCCUUAAUUGUACCAUGAGAACCUAGCUAUUUUUUUUUUUUUUGUAAUUCAUCAAAGUUAGCUUUUGUAUUCAUUGUUGUAUUAUUUUUAGUAUAACUUAGAAAGCUAGUGUUUUCAAGUGAGUAAAAUUAACUUGUAAAUAUUGUAAAGAUUCAUUGAUAUGUAUCUUAAACUAAGUGUACAAAUUAAAACAUUUGCUAGUAGAUUUUCUCAAAAUUUAGAAUAGAGCUUGAGGCUAUUGAAAUAGGUGGGGUUACACCAAACCACAUCACAUCGUUGUUUGCACCUUUUUUCACUCUCUUUUACUUAGUUUCUCUAUAUUUGUUGUCUAGUAAUAUCCUAUAGGCUUGAUGGGUUAGGGAGCAUCCCUUUGUGAAAAAAUUUCAUUCAAUUCUUAGUUGUAUUACGCAUAUAUAAAAUGCCUCAUUGUUUUAAUGGUAUUCAGUCGUGGCAUCACAGAUAUGGGCAUCUAAAUUUUAAAAGUUUGAAACUUUUGUAAAGCAUGUUGAUAAAAUCCAUGAGAGUUGUGUACUUGGGAAGCAACAUCGAGGUGACUUUAUUUUUUUUUCCUUUUAUAAUGCCACACCUAAGUCCGGUUUCUAAAUGCUAAAGUGAAAGGGUAGGUAUGGACCAUUGAAAUGUGAUCACAACUUUUGGCCUUUUCCUUUCUCUGCAGCCAUGUUGUCUCUUUUUUCUUUUGCAUGAUUUUCUUACCAAAACAGAAUCAUAGACUUGUUUAGUCUCUAAGCUACUAUAUUAUAUCUCGGUGGACUUUUAAGAGUGCAACCGACAUAGAGCACAUGCAAGUGGGCAUAUGGGACAUGAAAUUUCUUCUUACAAAGAUUGCAUGAUUUUUAUAUUAGAGUUGUUCACGUGCAAUGUAUUUAGCUUGUUUUGCAGUUAAAUUAAUUGGAUAAGUAAACAUUGGCAUUUCUAAAUCGACUGUGAAGUGCUUCAUGUACGUGUAAAGUAUUAGAAAUUUCUUUCUUGGCAACUUGUUUUUUCCUUGCCAUCUACUGGUAGGUUUGACUAAAAUUAUAUUCCCUGUCAUGCUAAUUAAUUUUCAUGUGCAUGCUCAAAAGAAGAGUAUGACCUUAGUGCACCAAAAUCACUUUGAUUAAUUUGUGAUAGGUUUUUUUGCAUCAUUUAGAUAAUGUUUAGUUCUAAGAAAAAUUUAUAUAAAAAUGGUUUAUUUAUCUUACAUAUAUAUAUAUAUAUAUAUAUUUUUUUUUUUUUCAUUUUUUUUUCUUCUAUUUUAUUUAUUUAUUUUAUUUUCCUUAUGUUUUCCUCACAUUUUCCGGAACUAAACAUAGUCUUACGAAAUCAACAAUUGCCUUCAACUGAGUAGAUUCUGUUGUUUUAGCAAUGUUAGGCUGCUAACUUGUGGUGGUACGAACCAAAUGACCCAUGUUAAUCUUGGCUUGGUUUGAUUUGGCUCUAUCUCAGAGAGCUAAAGGAUCACGUCAACUCUGGUUUCUACUAUUCAGGUCCAUUCCCAGAUGAACUGGUUCAAAUUUGAGAAAAUGGUAACAGACCUUUAGUGAUGUUGGUUUGGAGCCAGUUGCCAAACCCGCCCUGAGCUUUACCACUAAUGUCAAGGGAGAAAGCCAUUUGAACAAAAACAAUAGCUUCAAGAGACUGAAUCGUGGAUGAAAUCUGAUCCACAUUUCUUCUCAUUUUGGGAAAAAAUGAGAACUUAACUACAAAGAUUCUACUGCCUCAUUCAUAGUGCUUUUCCUGAUCCAAGGUUGGUUCGUUUCCCAAAUUGUGAGGUGCACGUGCCACUCUCACGCUCAGGAGUGUAUCCACGUGGUGGACAUCAGAUGGUGGCUUAAUAUCUGGUGUCGGUGGCUUUACUUUACUAGGAGAGUAGUGUGUCUUCAUCUCAUUCACUGCCGGAGGGUGGCGUAAGCAGUGACGCUAAGGUGGGGCACAGUCAAUAUCAUUUGCAUUUGACCAUUAUAGUUUUCUCCCGGCUUGAAAGUAACCUUAUCGUGAUAAAGGAUUACUAGCACUAGUUCAGAUGACCGUCAUGUUAAUUCGGACCAUGUUUGUGUCACAUUAUCAGCAACCAUGUGUUUAUGGUUCAUGCUAUCUGCAACUAAACUUGAUAUAUAACCAGGUGAACUUCAAUCAAAAUUCUGGAAGUACUCUUGUGAUAGAUGGUGCCUGUCUGCAGAGUCCAUCAAUUGAAAAAUGGAGUGAGUGUAUCUAUAAGAGGGAAGGCUUGGCAAAUGUUCAGUUUUCUGGGAAUUCAACAAGGAUCUAAAAUAGAUUGUUUUCUUUGCCGACUUCAAUGGUUGAAAUUUGAGAAGAUUGUGUCCACAUAUCACAACUAUUACUGGUCCUUCUGUUGCAAUUUAUCCUGUAAGGCUCUAACAUGUCUUCCAAUUCCCACUUCCCUGUUACUCCAGGAAAGCUAUUUCUGUCAUUGUGAAGAAGAAAAGAGAAUGUACAUAUCGAUGCUUUUAAGUGACUGGAGCAUUCAUAUCAGGUGGUCUGCAGCCAUAUAUGCCACUUUGUGAAGGUUGGAACAGUCAAUCACUAGGCUAUAUAUUGGUGUGGCCCAGCCACUUCAAUCAAGGACAAGUCUUCAUACUUAAAGUCAAAUUCUGCCUUUAGUCUCAUUAUAAAUUGCUGUUUAAAUAUUAAGCAAACUUUUGUUUAAUGCGAUUAAGACAGUACUAACUCAAUACUUGUUCUAUUUUUGGAUGCAAAUGCUUGAUGGUUUCAUCAUUGGAUGGGAUAAAGGUGCAUUCAUGAUUAUGAAUACUUGUAGUUAUAUUUUCAUUCUCUUUUUUCUCAAUGAGACUUGUUGGCACAAUGUUGCUGUUCAGAAACCUACCUCUCCAUGGAAAAUAAGUUGCGAUUGAUAGUACUGGAUAUGUUCAAGAAAGCUAAAUAUAGAUAGCACAAAAUAUUAUCGAUAUAAAUAGCAUUAACAGCGUACGUAUGUCUCAAUGCUCAUCAGCUAUAAGCAUGGGACAAACACUUACUAUGAGCAACUUACGUCAAAAUUCCAGAAUAGGACAUAGAAGUGACAGAUCUAUAUAUAUAGAACACUGCAUAUGAGUCACAAGAAAGGAAAUUACGGGUGCAUAGCAGCUCUUAUUUUACAUACUACUACUCAUACUGAUCAAAGUCACUCAGUUGGGAUGGGUGGGAGUAGGAGGUUUGUGGGGUGGCUUGUGCGGAGGAGUUGGCAGCUUCUUUCCAGGACCUGGUUGCUUCUCUGCUGGAGUUGAAGGAGGCUUAAUCUUCCGAGGUGGCUUGUAUGAGUCUUCAGCAUUCUCAGCUGGAGGGUGACCAGGGUUGUGACCAUAAUGUGGUGGCUUCUCUCCCUUAGGUGGUUUGCCAACUGGGGUUGGUGGCUUGUAUGAGUCUUCAGCAUUCUCAGCAGGAGGGUGACCAGGGUUGUGACCAUAAUGUGGUGGCUUCUCUCCCUUAGGUGGUUUGCCAACUGGGGUUGGUGGCUUGUGUUCUGGGAGUGGCUUCUCCCCCUUGGGAGGUUUUUCCAAUGGGGUUGGUUUGUGUUCAGGAGGUGGCUUCUCCACUGGAGGCUUGUGUUCAGGAGGUGGCUUCUCCACCGGUGGCUUGUGUUCAGGAGGUGGCUUCUCCACCGGAGGCUUAUGCUCUGGUGGUGGCUUCUCCACCGGAGGCUUAUGCUCUGGUGGUGGCUUCUUGAAUGGGGGAUGCUGAGGGUAAUCAGCAAGUGAGGGGGCGGUGAGAACCACCAGGCCAAGCAACACCACUAGCAAAUAUGUAGGAGACAUCUUUGGGUUUGGGCUCAGAUGGUGCAAAACUAGGAGAAUUGGCUAGCCUUUUAUAGCGGAUCGUACUCAAUAAUGAAAUGACACGUGUCAUUAUGACCCAUGUGUAAUGGGGUCGAUUUGGGUCCUACAGUGUUGAAAACUUCGACAUCCAGUUUUGGCCUUUUGCUUUCUCUACAGCCGCCUUGCUUUUUCCCUCUUUCCUUUUGUUUUCCUCCUGCCCCAUUCUAUCAACUAAACACAAUUAUGUAGUUGUUUAAUUCUUAAAUGAGAUAUUAUCGGUCAAUCGUAUUAUAUUUUAUCAAGAGAGAACGGAGUGCAAUGCAGCUGUAAUUUUAUCGUUUACUUUUAUCUCUUGGACCACUGCAUUUUUGUUAAGAGGUGCAAUAAUACACGUCUUUAUCUGCCAUUCAAUGUUUACAGUAAAGAGAGGGCACAAAACUCUUCACUGCUCUGCAUGUGUCCCAAAAAUGCGAUUGGACAAAUUAUGAUUUGCAUGCUAAAAAGAGGCAAAUGAGGUUAAUUCGCACCAUAAUUAUUUGGUUUUCUGGACACCAUAAAAAGAUGUUAUACAGGCAGGGAAAAACCUUCAGAGUUAGCUACCAAAGAUAAUUAUCAAGCAGAUAUCACCAAGAGAAUUCCAUAGAGUCUGAAUCAAAGACAGAUUGCUCGCUCGUGGGGGUUCUUACUUUCUUUUGGGUAUAACUCACUGAGGUCACUGUCUUUUUUAUUUGCAUUUCACAGUUAGAGUUCUGCUCUGGAAGGUUUGUUCUGGAAACAUAUAAAAGGAGCAUCAUUUUGUUCUUGGGUAACCCAUAGUCGUGAGUGGGUCCAUUUGCAUGCUACUUAGUUGAAAAGUUGGACAAUUUGCUCCGACGCCUACCUCCUGGAUUCCAUGCUCGGUAAAACAAGAAUAAAAAAAAAUAUAUAAUUUACAAAUGGGGGAAAGAAAAAAUGUCGGAAAAAAUAGUAAAAUUCAUGUCACAUGCUAGUGAGAGAAGGGGUUGUUACACUCACUCGAAGUUCUUUUCAAAAUAUCGAAUGGUAUUUUACUUUAUGUGUCAGCGCAGUUGUGAAUGGAACGUGCAAAAGUCCAAAUUGGCGUUUUUAUUUUUCCCAUGUAGGAUGGUGACCUUUAAUAAAUAUUUAAAACAAAAGACGAAAAAAAAAAGGAGGGAAAAGGGAUCACAAAAGAUAAAAUAAUGUUUACAAAAGCUCAAUUAGUUUGCAAAUUACUGUUUGGAUUUUGAUAGUAUUUUAUUUGUCGUUCUAUAUUUGAUGUAAAAGAGAAUUUAAGAUAUUUCCGAAGCAAAAGCAUUAGUUUGCUCUGUGAUGUCCCACAUCGAAUAGGGGAGAAAGUUUCUGGCGCUAUAUAUGUAGAGGCUCCUCUUAACCAAGUAGAUGCGUUUUAAAACCAUGAGGGCCCCCUUAGGUCCAAAGCGGACAAUAUCUACAUGAUUGGGUGUAAGUCAUUACAAAUGGUAUCAGAGCCGAUCCCCGACCCCGGUGUGGGGGUUUGUUUGGCCCUGUAAGGGGUGUUUGUCUGUUUGACCCCACAAUCCCAUGGGACACAACGAGGACGUUGUGUCUGCAUGGGGGGGCGUUUGUGAUGUCCCACAUCGGAUAGGGGAGAAAGUUCCUAGUGCUAUAUAUGUAGAUGUUUCUCUUAACCAAGUAGAUGCAUUUUAAAAUUGUGAGGGCCUCUUUGGGCCCAAAGCGGACAAUAUCUACAUGGUUGAGUGUAAGUCAUUACAUGCUCCAUGUCAAUUUCAGCAUUUCUCAUAUGUUUCACACAUACACAGAAGAGCAUCGUUUUUUAAAGCAUGCAUUUAUGUUGGAUUAAUUUGGAUUUUGUGGGAACUGGGGCAAGGAUCACAUGGAAGAGAGGUUGACUUUUUUCAGUACUUCAAUGGUUGAAAUAUGUGAAGGCUUGAUUGAUACUAAAGCUUGAAAUUGCGACUCUGUCAUUUGUAAAAAAAUAUGACAGCUUCCAUGCUCUCGUUUGGUUGCAUUGUCCGGUCGAGAGGUGCAAAAAGCAUUCUCUCUCUUCUAAUAGUCUUUUCGUUUAAAUCAAGGGAUUUGCCUUCCCGGUCGAGGUCCAAUAGAGGGUAACGGUCACCUACUAAACAUUAAAUGCUCCAACAACUAGUGAACUGAUCGACCCCAGCUCGACUAGUUGAGGUUACUUUUUGGUUUUCUUGUCUCCCGAGGUUAGAAACCUAUAAAUAGAGAGCUUCACUUCAUUUAUGAGUAAGAGAACACCUAAAUUUAUUUGUUUACCUACUUGUUUUUGCCAUAAAAGCUCUCAUUUCUUUUCUUGGUGUAUUAAAUCUCCAUUUGCAUAUCCUUUAGUGCACCUUUGUGAUUCAUUCUAGCCUUGAGUUGUAUUUAAGCCUUUGUUGAGCUAGGUUGAGAGUUUCAUACUUGUUUAUUGAGUGUUAAAGCCUUCAAGUGAGUUAAAACUUGAAGAGAUUGUGUAAGAGCCCAUUGGAGUCGGAAUCCAAGUGUAAAGGUGAUUAAAAGCUUGGUUGAAGCUUCAAGUUAGUGGAACUCUCACUCGGUUAUGAGCUUGAGAAGAGUGGACAUAGACAAGGCAGUGUCGAACCACUAUAAAAUCUGAGUUUGAUUUCUCUAACCUUAUCUCUUUAUAUUUGCUUCUCUUGUGCUUAAAUUUUUUGUGUUUAAAAAGAAUUUUUAAAAACUCAAUUCACCCCCUUCUUGGGAGUUUUUCUCUUUUAAGAUCAGCUUUUAUUUUCUCAAUUGGUAUCAGAACUAUGCCUCUUGUUUAAGACUUAAUCGUCUAAGAGGAAAUGGCUAAUCCAUCAAGUUCAUCUCACAUUGAAAGUUUUGCAACCAAUAGACUUCUUUUUUUUUUUUUGCGGGAACUGAUUAUCCCUAUUGGAAAACUAAAAUGACUUGGUUUUUACAAUCAAUUGAUUUAGAUGUAUGAGAUGCCAUUGAAGAUGACCUAACUUUUCCUUCAAAACUAGUUGAUGGAGUCAUGGUUCCAAAACCUAAGCAAGAAUGGGAUGAGCGUGAUUGAAGAAAUUUUCAAUUAAAUGCUAAAGUCGUUUAUACUUUGCAAUGCUCUAUGGACAGAAAUGAAUAUAAUAGAAUAUGUCAAUGCAAAUCGGUUAAAGAAAUUUGGAGAUUGCUUGAAAUAACUCAUAAAGGAACAAAUCAAGUUAAAGAGUCAAAAAUCAAUUUACUUGUUCAUAGAUAUGAAUUGUUUUUUAUGAAAGAUAAUGAAACUAUUGUUAAGAUGAUCACUAGGUUCACCAACAUUGUUAAUGGUCUUAAAGCCUUGGGAAAGACCUACAAGGAAUCCGAAAACGUGAUGAAGAUCUUGAGGUCACUUCCAUCAAAGUGGCAUACCAAGGUCACCGCAAUUUAAGAAGCAAAAGACUUGAUCAAGCUACCUUUGGAGGAGUUCAUAGGGUCAUUGAUGACAUAUGAAAUCAAUUUGGCAAAGAAGUAACAAAAAGGUGAAGACAAAAAGAAGAAGAACAUAACUCUCAAAGCUACAACUAAGGAAGAAGAAGUUGAAGAAGAAAAACAAAUUGAAGAAGAUGAAGAUUUAGCCCUCAUCACAAGAAAGUUCAACAAAUUCAUGAGGGGUGAAAGGUUUAGAAGAAGAAGGUUCACUUCUAGAAGAGACUUUUCUAAAAAGGAAUCUUCAUCUAAUGGUGACAAAAAGAGAUGGGAAGAGAAAAGAGACUUGGUGUGUUUCAAGUGCAAGAAACCGGGACACAUUAAAUAUGAUUGUCCUCUCUACAAAAGUGAAGUCAAGAGGAAAAAGAAUAAGGCAAUGAUGGCCACUUAGAGUGAAAGUGAAGAUGAAUCAUCCGAAGAAGAAAAUGAGAAAGAAGUGGCAAACAUGUGUUUCAUGGCAAUAGAUGAACUUGAUGAGGUAAAAUCUAACCUUAGUGAUUAAGAUAUACAUGAUGCAUUUGAAGAAUUGUAUGAGGAUUUUUAAAAACUUAGUUUGAAAAAUAUUUCUCUUAAAAAGAAAGUUCAACAACUUGACAAAGAACUUAGAGAAGUAAAAGAAAAAUUUUCAAAUGUUAAAGUUUCUAAAACUCAUCUUGAAAAAGAAAAUGAGAUUCUAAGAAAGAAAAAUGAAUAGUUGAACUCCUCUCUUUCAAUCUUUUCUUCUAGACAAAAAUCUUUUGAAAUGAUUCUAACUAGCUAAAAAUGUGUUUUUGACAAACAAGGGUUAAGAUUUAAAUCUUCAAAAAAUCAAAAGUAUUUUAAAAACUAUUUUGUAAAGGAAUCCACAAGUGCAAGUCCUUCCACUACUUGCAACUUUUGUGGAAGAGAAUGGCACAUUAGUAGUACGCCCUUUAAGAAAUGGUUCUCAAAAGAAUUUAAAUGCAAAAACUAAAAAAGAUUUGGAUUGAGAAAUCCAAGGUCACUAACCCUCAAGGACCCAAAAAGAUAUAGGUACCUAAAUCAACUUGAGUUUUAUGUUGUAAGGUUCAAAGAAUGAUAAGUGGUUCUUAGAUAAUGGUUGCUCAAGACACAUGACCGGAGAUGAAUCCAAGUUUGCUUUUCUUAAAAAGAAAAAUGGAGGAUAUGUUACCUUUGGAGACAAUGCAAAAGAAAGGAUGAUUGGUCAAGGCAACAUUGGUAAUGGCACAUCCUCUCUCAUUGAAAGUGUUUUAUUAGUAGAUGGUUUCAAACAUAACCUUUUAAGCAUUAGUCAAUUUUGCGACAAAGGUUUUUAAGUGAUUUUUUAAGCAUCUCAUUGCAUCAUCAAGGAUAUUCAAAAUGAUAAAACCAUUUUCAUGGGCCAUAGAUGUGAUAAUGUUUAUGCUAUAAAUAUUUCAAAAUAUGAUGGCCAUGAUAGAUGUUUUUCAAGCAUGCAUGAUCAAAGUUGGUUGUGCCAUAGGAGAUUGAGACAUGCUAACAUAGACCUCAUUUCCCAACUCAACAAAGAUGAACUUGUUAGAGGCCUUCCCAAAAUAAUUUUUUAAAAAGAUAAAGUUUGUGAAGCUUGUCAAGUGGGAAAGUAAAUCAAAAACUCUUUUAAAAACAAAAACUUCAUUUCCACAUCUAGGCCACUUGAGUUGUUGCAUAUGGAUUUAUUUGGUCCCUCUAGGACACCAAGUCUUAGAGGAAAUUCUUAUGCAUAUGCUAUUGUGGACGACUUCUCUAGAUACACAUGAGUCUUGUUUUUUAGUCAAAAGAAUAAAGUUUUUUAUGAGUUUUCAAAGUUUUGCAAUAAGAUUCAAAAUGAAAAAGGUUUUUCAAUUACUUAUAUAAGAAGUGAUCAUGGGAGAGAAUUCGAAAAUAUUGAUUUUGAAGAGUAUUGCAAUGAGCAUGGAAUUGACCACAAUUUUUUGGCUCUUAGAACUCCUCAACAAAAUGGGGUAGUUGAAAGGAAAAAUAGAACUCUUCAAAAAAUGACAAGAACCAUACUAAAUGAAAACAACUUACCAAAAUAUUUUUAGGCCAAAACGGUUAACACUUCUUGUUAUGUUUUAAAUAGAGUAUUAUUGAGGCUCAUACUUAAGAAAACUCCCUAUGAGCUUUGGAAAAACAAAAAACCCAACAUUAGUUAUUCCAAAGUCUUUGGAUGCAAUAUUUUAUAAUAAACACCAAAGACAAUCUUGGAAAAUUUGAUGCAAAAUUGGAUGUUGGAAUUUUCCUUGGUUACUCAACUUCAAGUAAAGCUUUUCGAGUUUUAACAAAAGAACCAUGGUUGUAGAGGAGUCCAUCCAUGUUAUUUUUUAUGAAUCUCCAAGAAAGAGAGAGGAUUGAUGAUGAUUUAGGUUUGAAGACCUCUAUAGGAAGAUUGCAAAUCGAAGAUAGAAGACAACAAGAAGAAAAUGGAGAGAAUCCAAAGAAAGAAGGAUCACCAUUGGCACUACCCCCUCAUCAACAAGCGCAAGGUGAAUCAAGUCAAGAGCUUCCUAAAGAAUGGAAGUUUGUCAUCAAUCACCCACAAGAUCAAAUUAUAGGCAAUCCAUCUAGUGGGGUAAGAACUAGAUCCUCUCUUAGAAAUAUUUGCAAUAAUCUAGCUUUUAUCUCUCAAAUUGAGCCUAAAAAUAUAAAUGAUGUUUUAGAUGAUGAAAAUUGGAUAAUUGCAAUGCAAGAAGAGUUAAAUCCAUUUGAAAGAAGUGGAGUAUGGGAAUUAGUACCAAGACCUUCAAAUCAAAGUGUUAUUGGAACUAGAUGGAUCUUUAGAAAUAAAAUGGAUGAAAAUAGCAUAAUUGUUAGAAAUAAAGCAAGAUUGGUAGCCCAAGGUUUUAAUCAAGAAGAAAUGAUAGAUUAUGAAGAAACCUUUGCCCCCGUAGCUAGGUUGGAAGCCAUUAGGAUGCUACUUGCCUUUGCAUGUUUUAAAGACUUUGUUUUAUAUCAAAUGGAUGUGAAAAGUGCUUUUUUAAAUGGUUUUAUAAAUGAAGAAGUAUAUGUUGAACAACCACCCGGUUUUCAAAGUUUCAACUUUCCUAACCAUGUUUUUAAACUUAAAAAGACACUUUAUGGUUUGAAACAAGCACCUAGAUCAUGGUAUGAAAAAUUGAGUAAAUUUCUUUUGAAAAAAAUGUUUUAAAAUGGGAAAAAUUGACACAACUCUUUUUAUAAAAACCAAAGAAAAUGAUAUGCUCUUAGUUCAAAUAUAUAUUGAUGAUAUCAUUUUUGGUGCUACUAAUGUCUCUCUUUAUGAAGAAUUUUCUAAGUGCAUGCAUAGUGAGUUUGAAAUGAGCAUGAUAGGAGAACUCAACUUCUUCCUUGGACUUCAAAUCAAGCAACUAAAGGAAUGAACCUUCAUCAAUCAAGCAAAGUAUAUAAGAGAUCUUCUCAAAAGGUUCAACAUGGAAGAAGCCAAAACAAUGAAGACUCUAAUGAGCUCAUCCAUUAAGCUUGAUAAGGAUGAGAAAGGUAAAUCCAUUGACUCUAUUAUGUAUAGAGGCAUGAUAGGUUCUUUGCUCUAUUUGACCACUAGUAGACCUUACAUUAUGUAUAGUGUGUGUUUGUGUACUAGAUUUCAAUCUUGUCUUAAAAAAUCUCACUUAAGUGUCGUGAAAAGAAUCCUCAAAUAUUUGAAAGGGACAAUGGACAUAGGCUUAUGGUAUCCUAAGAGUGAUAACUUUGAAUUAAUUGGUUUUUUGGAUGCUGAUUUUGUCAGUUGUAGGGUUGAAAAAUAAAACACUAGUGGCACUUUUCAUUUCUUAAGACACUUACUUGUCUCAUGGCAUAAUAAGAAGCAAAAUUUGGUAGCUUUGUCAACAGCAGAAGCUAAAUACAUAGCAACUGGUUUAUGUUGUGCACAAAUCCUUUGGAUGAAAUAAACACUUAGUGAUUUUGAUUUAUCUUUUGAGCAUAUUCCUAUUAAAUGUGAUAAUAGUAGUGCCAUAAGUAUAUCAAAAAAUCUCGUGCAACACUCUAGGACUAAGCAUAUAGAGAUUAGACAUAAUUUUCUUAGAUAUCAUACACAAAAGGAUGAUAUAACACUUGAAUUUGUAAGCAUAAAAGACCAACUUGCCGAUAUCUUUACAAAACCUCUAAGAACAUUUUGUUGAUAUUAGAGGACAAUUAGGAGUGAUUUCUUUAUGAUCUAAUGUGAUGAAUUCUUGAUGAAUAUACUUUUUGAUUGCAUGAAUUUCAUGUCAUAUAUGCAUCAUAUAGAAAUAUACUUAGAUAAUGGUCAAAUUUCGACCAAAAAUCAAAAUUCCCAUGGCAUUAGGCAUAAAAAUUUUGGAAUUUCAACUGAAAAUGGUAGGAGGAGGAUCACAAAAUGAGAAAGUAUGCAAAAAUUGAAAAAUCAAAACGUUGACCAAGCGGUCAAUCGGACUAGACCGAUCGACUAGUUUGUCGAGAUUUAGGAUUUUUAAGAGACUCCAACGCUUCAAUUUUUGCACCGUUCUCCUCUAUUUCUUCACGGUUUCUCUGAUUUUGUCUUUUAGAGACUAAUUUGAGUGCGUUUUGGAUCAAUUGAAGCAUUUUGGAUUGGAUUUUAGGAAGAUUGAAAGUUAAGGUUUCGGAUUUGGGUCGCCUUCUCUUCCUCUCGCGUGUCACAAUCAGCUUUAGCAUUGUUCUCUUUCCAUUUUCACACACCUAGGGUUUCAGUUGUGAGCAUCUCUCUCUCUUUACCAACCACUACUCCCUUGCUUCUUCCAUAUGGCUCCUAGGCGAGAGUCCGCUACUUCUAGGGCACAAGGCAAGCACCCAACUGAGUCGUCUCAGUCAAAGGCACGUCGAAAAGUGAGAUUUGACAUUGCCUUGUUCAGUUCCAUGGAGGACUACCAACUAUACAAGCAACACUUUGCUUAGAGACGAGUAGUUCCCAAGAGAAAUAUUAAUUUUCCUCAACUUCAGCAUUUCGAAUUUAAGGGUCUAUUUACUAGGAUGGUUGGUUGUCUAUUGUCACAAUUUCGGAGCCGGUUUUCCUGACCUUAGUGCGAGUUUUUUACUCGAGGGCGACUUAUGGCAUGGGUGGCAUGAUCAUUUCUACUGUUGGAGGAGUUGAGAUCUGUCUGGACCCAGAGAGCAUCUGCCAUAUUUUCGAUAUUGCUCUGGUUGGACUCAAAGUAUACAAGUCCAAAAUGUGGCCCAUUGUGCCAGGAUUUGAGCUUAGAGAGGUCAUUCAGAGGAUUUGUGAACUUCCAGACGCCCAGGAGAUGGGCAAACCAUUGCCACACAGUUUGACGGUCAUCAACAGGGUGCUACACCAUAUAUUGUGCUCUAUCUUUCUACCACGAAGUGGACAUUGAGAUGAGGUCUCUUAUUAUGAGGCAUUCCUUAUUGACUCCAUUCUAACGGAGAGACGAAUUCAUCUACUAUGUCAUCAUUCACUAAGCCUCCUCACAGUGACAUACCACCUCAUCAGGCACCUCUUGCUCCUGACCAUGCUCCAUUGAUGGAUUUAUUUACUCAUAUUAGCUCUCUAGGCACUCGCAUGAAGGAGUUUGUUGUAGUUAGUGAUACAUGGUUCUACUCCAUAGAGGAUCGCAUGGAUCAGUAUCAGACUGGCUUCACGUCACAGUUUGAGUAUCUCCAAUAGAGGAUUGAGCAUAUUGAGGAUCACUUGAGCAUGAGAAGAUGAUGGCUUUUCUAUGCUCUGUGUUUCCACCUCCACCUCGUCAACCUUGAUUUCUUAGAGACCCAUUGUUUUCAUUUUGUAAUGUUGCCAAAAGGGGGAGAUAUUUAGGAUCUAGGACUCUAUAGGAGACUUACAUGCAUAUCAUUUUCAUAUCAUUGUUUGGAUCGUACAUAUUGGAUAGUGAUACUUUUUACUUAUAUAUGAUAUGCCUAUAUGUUUCAUGUCUUACAUUGUUUCUUAUUGCAAAUUAUCUCUAACAUGUCUUGAUUAUCUUUUUUUUAACUUCAUAAAUUUUGAUUGUUAACCCAUGAUUGGUUUGAGGGGAAGAUUCUUCUUCUCCUAGAUAACCAAGGUUUGUCAUCAUAAAAAAAUUGGAGAUUGUUAGCCCAAGGGUUCUCCUAAUCAUGUUUUGAUGAUAACAAACCAUGCUUAAGUUACUAAUUGGUUUGAAUUAUAAAGAAUUUCAAGUGUUAAUUUGAAAAUUCAUCAAAGAACCUAAUGGAUGCAAGAUCAAGAUUUUUGGAAGACCUUUAAUCAUAAGAAACAUAUGUAAGAUGAAUGCAUGGGUGCACUUAAGAUUUGCAUAUCAUUUCAUGCAUAUUUGGAAAACACGGUUUAUGCUUUAAAGUUACAUUUCCAUCAAAAUUUGAGAUCCAUCAAAUGAACCUUAGGAAAAAUGUUUUAAAAUUGGCAUAUAAUUUUACCUAAAGACCUUGCCUAAGUGUUAGAAGCAAAAGGACAAAAAAAAUAUAGGUUUUCUGGUCAAAAAUGGUGAACCAGUCAAGGCAUUGUCUAAAUCAGCUCAAUCGGCCAAGGUACCGGUCGAUCGGUUUCCCUUUCCCUGUCGAGAUCUAGUCAAGAGGUACAAAAAUCACAAUCUCUGUCUCUUUCUCUCUUUGUCUAUCUUCCAGUAGUCUUUCCUUCCCGGUCGAGGGAUUUGCCUUCCCGAUUGAGGUCCGAUUGAGAGUAAUAGUCACUUGCCAAAUAUUAAAUGCUCCAACAGUUAGUGAACUGGUCGACCCCCACCUUGCCCAGUUGAGGUUACUUUUUGGUUUUCUUGGCUCCCGAUGUUAGAAACCUAUAAAUAGAGAGUUCCACUUCAUUUAUGAGCAAGAGAACACUUGCAUUUAUUUGUUUACCUACUUGUUCUUGCCUUAAAAGCUCUCAUUUCUUUUCUUGGUGCAUUAAAUCUCCAUUUUGAUAUCCUUUAGUGCACCUUUGUGAUUCAUCUUAGCCUUGAGUUGUAUUUGAGCCCUUUUUUUAGCUAGGUUGAGAGUUUCAUACUUGUUAAUUGAGUGUUAAAGCCUUCAAGUGAGUUGAAACUUGUAGAGAUUAUGUGAGAGUCGAUUGGAGCCGAAAUCCAAGUGUAAAGGUGAUUAGAAGCUUGGUUGAAGCUUCAAGUUAGUGGAAUCCUCACUCAAUUAGGAGCUUGAGGAGAGUGGACGUAGCCAAGGAAGUGUCGAACCACUAUAAAAUUUGAGUUUGAUUUCUCUAACAUUGUCUCUUUAUAUUUGUUUAUCUUGUGCUUAAAUUUAUUGUGUUUAAAAAGAAUUUUUAAAUACCCAAUUCACCCCCCUCUUGGGUGUUUUUCUCUUUUAAAAUUAGCCUUUAUUUUCUCACAAACUAUUGUAGUAUAGUGGUUUUUAGGUGUCAUCCAUUAGGAUGAAUUGUUCUCGGUAAUUAAGGCGUGAAUGAGAGGAGAAUUAAUGAUUGUGAUUAAGUAAAAUUGAUUUGAAAAUUCAUGGUGAAAAAUCAAUUUAACAAUGGUUUCUAAUUGAGAAAAACAAUGAAAUGUGAAAUAAAAUAAAAUUAAUAGGAAAUGAAAUUCUCGAAGUUAGAAUUUUCUAAAAAACAAAUUCCAUGGUGAAUGGAUGUUGAGAUCUAAUUUUCAUCAAGUUAGAUUGAAAACCGAAAUUUUCAUAUAAACUGAUUUUUUAUUUAGUUUUAGGUCUAGAUUUAAUUUCCCUUAAAAUUAGGUUAUUUAAUCCAAGAAAUCAAUUCAAAUCAUAUAUUCAAUUCAUCUUAAAUUAUCUUCCAAUUAUUCACACAAUGCAACUAUUCAAUCUCAUCAAAUCUAGCUUUUAAGAAUUUAAUGAAUCUACCUAGUUUGCAUUGUAAUAGUCAUCCAUGACAAUUUGAAGAGAAAAAUAAUUCAAUUAAUCAAUCACUUGGAUCAAAUUACCUUUGCAAUUAAAGUUCAUUUCUCUAAUUCACCACAGAUUUUGUCUCUAGAUCCUCCUUUCUCAAAGAAAAAUGAGAUUUAGCCACACAUGAUUGGAGAUUUGGUCUCAUAAGGCAUGUUUAGCUAGUGAUAAAAUGAGAGAAAAUAAAGAAAAAUAGAGAAUUCGAUUAAGAAAGAAAAUCUAAAAAAUUCUACAAUUAGAAAUGUCCAAAAAGCUUUUUCAUGAGAAAAUCAAGUUUCUAUUUAUAGGCCAAGGUCAAGUGGACACUUGACAUCAUCUAAGAGGUCUUCCGGAAGCUUCUUCAUCAAGAAAUCUGGAGUUUAAUAAUAAAAUGGUCAUUUCACAAGAGCUCAAACAAUUUCGCAUGAUUAUGUGAAAUAAAAAAUGCAACAACAGCAAUUUACAUCUUCUUGGAGCAUUUCGCAUGACUGUGUGAAAUUUUCACAUGAUCAUGUGGAAUCGACUUGACAACUCUCAUUUAGCCUACAACAUAAUUCCACCUUUUGGUCCAUUUUUCAUAGUCAUGCGAAAUGGAAAUAUUUGAUUUUUAAGUUUUCUUUUGUCAUUUCUUUCAUUUCCUUCUCUUGAUUCCACUUCAACUACCUCCGAAUCCUGGUCCAAACCAAUUGCAUUACUUCUUUCAUUAUGCAUUUGGAUCAUCAUCAACAUUAUUUGUUCUCUUCAAUUUGAUUCAUCUCUUUUGUCACCAAUUUAUCAAAAUCAUACCUUGAAAUGACUCCAAAACUUCAUAAAACUUGUUAGUAACUCUUGCAAGGGCAACAACAUAUUAAUUAAGUGUUUUAGGCAUAGUUACUACUCAAAAGAUGCGAAACUCAUGAUAAUUAUUAUAUAAAAUAUGCUCUUUUUGAGUAGUAAUCAACUUUCUUGCAUAAGCAGACCUUUUAGGGUGGAGUACUAAAGACCAAUAUGCUUGUCCUUGUUGUAAUAAAGAAACUUGCUCUUAUUGAUUGCACCAUGGGAGAAAAUUUUGCUACAUGAGUUAUCAUCAAUUUCUUCCCACCAAUCAUAGAUUUAGACGUGACAAGAGGCCUCUUAAUGGCAAGGAGGAACUGACACUCACACUUAUACAAUUAUCGGGCAUUGAUGUGUUGCAACAAUUAGAAUAACUUACACCAAUUAUGUUGGGGAAGUCACAAAAGGCAAACAUGAAAACUAAAAGGAAAAAAGAAAAAUGUUACAUAUCACCACAACUGGAAAGAAAAAAGUAUUUACUUUCAUUUGCCAUAUUGGAAAGCACUUAUUUUACAUCAUAAUAAUUUAGACAUAAUGCAUAUUGAGAAAAAUGUGUGACAAUAUAAUUGAGACAUUGUUCAGUAUUGACGAAGAAACAAGGACAACCUAAAUAGUCAUCUCGAUUUACAAGCUCUAACUAUUAGAAAUGAGAUUCACCCAAUAGAAAGCAGGACCAAAUUUAUUUUGCUUGCAACAUGCUACUCACUCACCCCAAAUGAGAUUAAGGAAUUUUGCAAGUUUUUGAAAUCAAUAAAGGUCCCCAAUGGCUAUUCUUUCAAUAUCUCUCGUUAUGUGCAACUCAAUGAAAGGAAGAUAUAUGAGCUCAAAUUGUAUGAUUGUCAUGUCCUAAUGCAACAACUUCUCUCACUUGUAGUUCGUGGAGUUCUACAUAAGAAUGUUUGUGGAGUUAUCAUAGAAUUGCGUAAUUUUUUCAAGCAAUUGUGCUCAAAGGUGUUAGAAACAAAUCACUUACACCAACUUGAGAACAAUAUUAUUGUCAUACUAUGUAAAAUGGAGCAAAUAUUUCUUCCAUCAUUCUUUGAUAUUAUGGUGCAUUUACUUGUGCAUCUAGUAAGGCAAAGGUUGCAAGACUUGUGCAAUAUUGUUGGAUGUACCUAAUUGAACGAUAUUGUUAUAAUUUCAUAUGAAUCAUUUAAUUUUAUUUUAUAUUAUGUUCAGUUCAUUAACAUGUACAUUGGUCUACAUAUGGAUGAUGAUAGGUACCUAAGCACUUUAAAGUCAUAUGUGCGUAAUAGAACUUUUCUAGAAGGUUCUAUUGUAGAAAGGUACCUUGCAAAAGAAUGUACAACAUUUUAUUCUAGGUACUUGAAUGAUGUGGAAAUAAAGUAUAAUCACAAUGAUAGAAACUUUGUUGGUUUCAACACUAGAGGAGAUGAAAGGGGUUAUCUUUAAACAUAUUGGACAUGCAUUGGGAAAGCCCAUAUUUCAUUAACUUAGUUCAAAAGAGUGGUCACAAGCACAUUUAUAUGUGUUGACAAAUUGCGAAGAUGUCAUACCAUUCAUUGAGUAAAAAAUUUAUUUGAAUUUUAAUUAAAGCUCUAGUUUAUAUCCUUAAUCAAUGUUUUUUAAAUUCACAAGGAGCACAAGCAAACCAUCAAGGCUAGACCACAUAUACGUGUUUGAGACGUAGAUUUAAUUCAUAACAAGGAAUUUAUCAAGUGGUUUGAAAGACAUGUAAGUAUAUUCCUUAUUAUAAGGGAUUUAUUUCACAUUAUGUUUAUAUUGAAUCCAAACCUAUUAUUGAAUUGUAGGUUGAACAAUUACAUAAUGAAGGUCAUAUAUCUGAACACCUUCUCACAUUAUCAUGUGUUCCAAAUUCAUUAGUUACAUGCUUCAAAUGAUAUAUUGUCAAUGGAUUUAGAUCCCACAUUAAAGAACGUGAUAAAAAAGUUUUUAAAAAAAGACUCAGAAUAAUGGAAUUGUUGUAGUUGCAAAAACGUCAAGCUUUACAAGUGCAUGUGAUAUGAGUCCAAUUAUUAGUGAUGCUCUCUACUAUGGUGUUCUAACUAAAGUUGUUGAGUUACAUUAUCUUGGUGAAAAUAAGGUUGUUUUAUUCGAGUUUGAUUGGUGGGAUGUUACAAAUAUUGGAAAAUUGAUAAAAGAUGAUGAGUACAAUUACACAUUUGUUAACUUUGCAUGAAUUCUAACCACGAACGAACGAUUUGUACUUGCAUCUCCAGCAAAGUAAGUGUUCUAUGUGAAGAAUGCGAAUGAAUCAGAUUGGCAUACUAUCAUGGAGAUGCAACCUCAAGACCUCUAUAAGAUGAACGGGAUAGGAUCCAAUGGUGAUUUUGAACCAUUUCAACAAAGUGAACUACAUGAUCACUAAUAUAUCUCAGAUUUAGUUGAUGAAGAUAUAAUCAAGUGGAACAAAAGUGAUGUUUUAGGACUAAUCAUCCUAAAAAAUAUUGUAGUUUCUUAAAAAAAAAAUGAAAAUGAAGAAGAUAAUUGAACCUUUGUCAUACUUUAAAAAGCAACUAUGCAUUGUUCAUUUUGUAUGUUUUGGUUUUCUUCAUUUAAUUUCCUGAUUUUUGUGAUUCAAUGUCAUAUUAUUGAUCUUGAAAUAUUUUUCUAAUUUUUCAUUCUACGAUGGUUUCAACAAGGAUGACAUCAAGUCAAAAAAGGAAAUGUGGUCCCACACACAAUAUUGCAUUACAGGGAUUAAGGUCAGGGAAGAAGGUAAAAGUUGCAUUUAAUGAGUACAAUCAAUUGGUUAAACAGAAAAAUGGAAAACACUUAUCGAGCUACAUAGGGACACUUGUAUCUAACCAACACAAUGUACCUCUCCAAGCUAGUGAUUGGAAAAAUGUUCCAAAUGAUGCAAAAGAGAAAGUAUGGCCUUUGUUUUGGUAUGUUGUAUUUCUCACUAUAUGAUGUCAUUUCACUGUUAUUCUAUUUUGUGACUAACGUUUGAAUCAUAUGUAAGAAAAAUUUGAAGUAGAUAAAGACUGAAAAGAUUACAUGUUGGGUAUAGCCUCAAAUAAAUAUAGAAGCUAUAAAAAUAUGAUGAAUGCAAAAUACUAUGACCCUUGGCAUAAGGAUGCAUGAGGAGAGGUUAAUACAUAAAUCACCAUUUGUCUCUGAUGUUGAUUGGAAGUGGCUUGUCUCUGAUGCAUAAACCAAAUCCCCCACUGAAUGUUUGAUAUUUGAUAGCAGGAAAAACACACCCGCAGCUAUACACCUCCAUCAUUCAGAUAAUUAUAGUGGGGGAGAUGAUUCAUGGUUGCCCUUAUACCCUUUAUUUGCACCAUCUAUUGAGAUUCUUUAUCAUGGCCAGGUUUUACUGCAGCAAUAAGAUAUGGUGGCAACAAUUUUAUCUAUAGGUGCGGUUCCAGACCGCCUCCAUAGGUGCGGUUCCUGACUGCCUCCAUAGGUGCCUCUUCUUGUAAUGUUUGUUCUGGGAAUUACACUUGAAAGCCUUAUCGUGAUAAGGGAUUACAAACACUAGUUCAGAGGACAGCCAUGUUAAACUUCCACUAUGUUUGUGUCACAUUAUCAGCAGCCUAGUGUUUAUUGGUCAUGCUAUCUGCAACUAAUAUAACCCGGUGAACUUCAAUCUAAAUUCUGAAAGUACUCAUGUGACAGAUGGUGCCUUUCAGCAGAUAUCAUCAAUUUAAAAGUAGUGUGUGUGCCUAUAGGUGGGAAGGCCUUGGCAAAUGUUCAGUAUUCCGGUAAUUCAAGAAGGAUAUAUCUAAAAUAGAUUUUCUUCUUGCCCAUUUCAAUAGUUAAAAUUUGAGAAGAUUGUGUCCACAUCACACAAAUAUUAUUGGUCCUUCUGUUGCAAUUUACCUCUGAACAUGUCUUCCAAUUCCCACGGUCCUGUUACUCCAGGAAAACUAUUUCGGUCAUAUUGAAAAAAAAAAUAUUAAAGAAGGUACACAUGCUUUUAAGUGGACUGGGGCAUUCAUAUCAGGUGGUCUGUAUCCACAUAUGCCACUUCGUGAAAGGUGGAACAGCCUAAUCACUAGGCUAUUUAGUGUGGCCCAGCCACGUUAAUCAAGCACAAGUCUUCAUACUUAAAGUCAAAUGGUGUCUUUAGUCUCAUUACACAUCGCUAUUUGAAGAUUAACUCAUCACUAGUGUAAUGCGAUUAAGACAGUCCUAACUCAAUAUUUGUUCUAGUUUUGGAUGCAAAUGCUUGCUGGUUUCAUCAUUGGAUGGGAUAAAGGUGCAAUCAGGACUAUGAAUACGUGCAGUAAUACUUCAUUCUCUUUUUUCUCAAUGAGACUUCUUGGCACAAUUUUGCUGCUCAGCAACCUACCUUUCCAUGGAAAAUCAGUUGUGACUGAUAGUAAUGGAUAUAUUCUAGAAAGCUAAACAUAGAUAGCAUUCAAUAUUAUCGAUAUAACAUUAACAGCGUAUGUCUCAAUGCUCAUCAGCUACAAGCAAUGGACAAACACUUUGAGUAACUCACAGCAGUCAAAAUUCCUAAACAGGACAGACGUGACAGAUCUAUAUAUAGAACACUGCAUAUGAGUCACAGGAAAAGAUAAUACGGGUACAUAGAAGCUCUUAUUUUACAUAUUACUCAUACUGAUCAAAGUCGCUCAGUUGGGAUGGAUGGGAGAAGGAGGUUUGAGGGGUGGCUUGUGCGGGGAAGUUGGCAGCUUCUUUCCGGGAGCUGGUUGCUUCUUUGCUGGAGUUGAAGGAGGCUUAAUCUUCCGAGGUGGCUUGUAUGAGUCUUCAGCAUUCUCAGCAGGAGGGUGACCAGGGUUGUGACCAUAAUGUGGUGGCUUCUCUCCCUUAGGUGGUUUGCCAACUGGGGUUGGUGGCUUGUUUUCUGGGAGUGGCUUCUCUCCCUUGGGUGGUUUGCCAACUGGGGUUGGUGGCUUGUGUUCUGGGAGUGGCUUCUCCCCCUUGGGAGGUUUUUCGAAUGGGGUGGGUUUGUGUCCUGGUGGUGGCUUCUCUCCCUUGGGAGGUUUACCAAUUGGGGUCGGUGGCUUGUGUUCUGGGAGGGGCUUCUCUCCCUGGGGAGGUUUAGUGGGUGGCUUGUGUUCUGGAGGUGGCUUCUCCACCGGAGGCUUAUGCUCUGGUGGUGGCUUCUCGAAGGGGGGAUGCUCAGGGUAAUCACCAAGUGAGGGGGUGGUGAGAACCACCAUGCCAAGCAACAACACUAGCAAGUAUGUAGUAGACAUCUUUGGGUUUGGACUCAGACAGUGCAAAACUACGAGAAAUCGCUAGCCCUUUAUAGCGGCUCGGACCUAAUACUGACAUAAUAUAAAAUAAAUAUUAUAUUUUAUCAAGAGAGAACAGAGUGUAAUUUUAUCAUUAAUACCGAUCGAGGCCAAAGAAAGAAGACCCAUAAUCCAUUUCCCACAAGCAUACACAAUGCAGCUGUAAUUUUAUCAUUUACUUUUAUCCCUUGGACCACUGCAUUUUUGUUGAGAGACACAAUAACACAUUUUUAUCUGUCAUUCAACAUUUACAGUAAAGAGAGGGCACAAAACGCAAUUAGAUAAAUUAUGUUUUGCCUGCUAAAAAGAGGCAAAUAACUUUAUUUGCAACAUAAUUAUUUUGGUUUCUAGUGACCCCGGGGCCUUUCGGUUGGUUUGGGAUCGGAAAAUGAACAUCAUAGGGGGGGUUGUGCCCUUAUGGGCAUAUAUAUCUGAUAGCUUCAACUGGCCUUGUUCCUAGAAAGAAAUUGCCAAAGAUAUAAACUUAUUCCAGGCUGAAAGUAGAUGAGAGUCAUAAUGAACAUCAACCUUUGUUCAGUUUGAUUCAAUGCCCCCAUAGUGUUCAUUUCACAGAUCUGAAUGAUUAUAUCCGUUGAAUACAUAAAUUAAUGAAGACAAAUAUGAAACCCAAGAUACAUCUCUGCAUAACAACCCCAACCCUGGUUGCUAUGUUUCCCUUCUUCUAUUCACAUGAGGAUACUGGUUAUAAUUGUCAAACUUGCAACAAGCCCUUUGACACCUAACGUCAAUGGACGAAUUAAAAGUCUCCUUCAAACGUCUAUUUCACAGCAUGAAGCUUAUAAAGGAUGCUGACAACCUUCAGAGUUAGCGACAAAAGAUAAUUAUCAAGGAGAGAUAGUUCCAUGAGAAUUCCAAGGAGUCUGAAUCAAAGACAAAUUGCUCACUCAAGGGUUCUUAUUUUCUUUUAGGUACAAAUCUCUUGAGUGUUGUUAAAGAAACACGUCACUGUCAUUUUGAUUUGCAUUUAACAUUUCACUUUUGUUCUGGAAGGUUUGUUCCGGAAACAUAUCAAAUGAGCAUCAUUUUCUUCUUCGGUGACACAUGGUCGCGAGUACGUGGGUCCAUUUUCAUGCCACUUAGUUGAAAAGUUGGAAAGAAAAAACAUGCCAACAAGAAGAUAGUGAGAGAAGGGGCACUUCAAGCCUUUAACAUGAACAAACAGUAAAUAAAAGAUGUUUCUCCACUCAUAAAAGUGUGUUAGAUAGCAAUAUAACGAAUCACAUCCAAAAUCUUUACUAGGCUCAAACAUAAAGAAGACUCAUUUUUAAGAAAAGAUAAAAAUGGCAUUGUCUGAUAGUAUCCAAUACACGAGAUGGCACUUAAUUUGUACAAGAUCUGUCAAUGCUGACGCACAUUUUCUGAUUAAAAAAAAACUGAUCAGUCAAAAGCAAUGAAGAGAAGUGAUGACAAUGAAUGAUGCUUCCAAUAUUUUCACCCCUUAUAGUGUUCUUCAUGAUUCAGAUAUAUAAUUGGAAAUAGAACAACCCUAUGCCAUACAUUCGUCUAAGUAUGGUGUCUAAUUUUUUGUGUCAGCGGUUGCGAAUGGAGCGUGCAAAAGUCCAAAUUGGCGUCUCUCCAUUUCCACAUAGGAAGGUGACCUUUAUUGACAAAUACCCAAUAUUUGUAGACAUUCCUUAAAUAUCAUAACUUCUUGUUGAUUUGAAAAUCAUUUUUCAACUACCAUGUUUUAAUAAAUAUUUUUUAAAAUGUAUUUUUAUCAAAGUCCACCAUGAUGGAUAAUAUUCACCAUGCAAUAAUUAAUAAAGUACAAACUAAGCGAAAUGAAAAGCAUUUUCUUUGCUUUGAGUUGAUUUUGGUUGCAUUGAGUUGAUUUUGGUUUCAUGGUUUUUUCAACUCUUAUUUUGAUUGGAAGAUGUCAAGAAAAGAAAACAUAAAGAAAAAUUAAAAGGGAAAAAAGAAGAAAAAUAAAAAAAAAUAGAUUUAAAAGUUAAUAAAUUAUUUUUUAUAUUUAUUUUAAUUCAUUUCACUUAUUUUUCUUUUACUAUAUAAAAUUUAAAUAAUUUAAAUUUUAUAAUUAAUUUAAUUACAUUUCAUUUUCUUCUAUAUUUAAAUAUUGGAAAAAUAUUUUACUUAAUAUUUUUUUCUUUAAUUUCUUUGGCAUUUUGGGAACCAAACUUAGCCUUUAAAAUAAAAAACAAAAAAAAAAUGAAAAUAAGGAGGGAAAAGUGAGAAAAGAUAAAAACAAUAUGUAAAGGAUUUGAAAAGUAUUAGUUUGUAAUUACUAUUUGGAUUUCAAUAGUAUUUUAUUUGUCUUUCUAUAUUUCAUGUAAGAGAGAAUUUAAGAUAUUCCCCAAGGCAAAGCAUUAGUUACCUGCAAUCAGUGGUGAUAAGGCUCCAAGCCAAUUUUGGGCCCCAUAUCUUAAGACAGUACAAUUUCCAUUUCAACAUUUCUGAUUUCUCAGAUGUUUCACAUACCACAGAAGAACAUUGUUUGUGAAAAUAUGCAUUUAUGUUGGAUUUUGUAUGCUGUGGGGACUGGGGCAAGGAUCAUAUGGAAGAGUGGUUGACUUUUUCUGUACUUUAACGGUUGAAAUAGGAUAAGCACGGGCAUUUGUGAGGCUUAAUUGAUUUUGAAGCCUGAAAUUGCGUUUCUGUCAUUUUGUCAAAAAAAUGGCAGAUUCCAUACUCAUAUGUUUGGCCUGUGGCCAUGUACAGAUGCCAUUUAGUGACCAGUUUGUAACUGUCAAUCGUUGCGUUUUGACUCUGCCUCAACAACAUCUGCCAUUGACGGGUUUUCAUACUUGCAAAUCAAAUAGUCUUUCGUCCCAUCAGGAAUUUCGGUUUAAAUAUUAUUAAGCAUACGUUUGGCUGACAAUCAUUAUCCAGUUCAUGAUUUGGUUUCUUACCCUUAAUCAAUGGUUUCUAAGUGAAUAUAUGUAGAAGGAAAUCCGAAGUGUAGACAGUAGUAUCGAUAACUCUCAAUAUUCUCUAUAUAAUAGAAUAAACAGCGUCAUAGUGAUCGUCGCCUACAAGCAAGGUACAAAUACCAAAACGAGUGACUCACAUAGACAUCUCCCAACAAGAUGUAGUAGUGACUGACACAUGGACACAAUUAACUCGUAGAAAAGGAUAAGACCAUUGCACAGCAGCUCUUAUUUUACAUACUACUUAUGCUAACCAAAGUCAAUUAGUUGGGAUGGGUGGGAGAUGGAGGUUUGUGCGGUGGCUUGUGGGGCGGAGUUGAUGGCUUCUUUCCAGGAGCUUCUGGCUUUUUCAUCGGAGCUGAAGGAGGCUCAAUCUUAUGAGGCGGCUUGUAUGAGUCUUCUUUACUCUCGACAGGAGGGUGGCCAGGGUUGUGAUCAUAAUGUGGUGGCUUCUCUCCCUUAGGUGGCUUGCCAACUGGGGUUGGUGGCUUGUGUUCAGGAAGUGGUUUCUCUCCCAUGGGAGGUUUAGCAAUUGGGGUUGGUGGCUUGUGUUCUGGGAGUGGCUUCUCUCCCUUGGGAGGUUUAGUAGGUGACUUGUGUUCUGGAGGUGGCUUCUCCACCGGAGGCUUGUGCUCCGGUGGUGGCUUCUUGGUUGGAGGGGGCUUGGGGUAAUCAGCAAGAGAUGGGGUGGUGAGAACCACCAGUCCAAGGAACAACACUAGCAAGUAUGUGGGAGACAUUUUUGAGUUUGGGCUGAUCAGAUGAUGCAAAACUAAAGCAUUACGUGACCUUUUAUAGCAUGUAGCUCCCAAUACCCACUAAGUAUUGUGGGGUCCAUUUGUGCCCUACGGGGUUGAAAACUUAGACAAUUGGGCAAGGACCCACCUGACUAUGGAGGACUAGUGAGGUGUGAUCAUAGCUUUAGGAUUUUUCUUCCUCUGCAGCCGUCGUGCCGUUGGCAUGAUUUUCUUAAUCUUAAAUAAAGGCAUAGUUAUAGAGUUGUUUAAUCUCUAAAUGGGAUUUUAUAUAUAUCUUCAGAUAGCCAUUAAUAUAUUUGAUGAAGAAAGAAAGACAAGUGCAUACAACAUGUAUACGACUAGCUUUCAUGGAGUUCAUUUAUGAUCAGUUUUCCUGUACAUGUAAACCAGGAUCAUAUAUAUGUUUCUGUUCCACAACUAUUUUGGAAUCUUGUUUAUCAGUUUUUAUCAUUAUAAUGUCACAUAGGCUGCCAACUUGGGCGCUAAAAGAACCAGUUGGGCUAGUUCGUUUCAGAAUUUCAAUGUGGAUUCAGGAAUUGUUUUGUAAGAUAUGCGAAAUAGUAGAGGGAUGAAUAGUGUUUCAUUAAUAAAAGUGUCCUGUAAAUUAGAAGGUGUCAUAGAAACUAUAAUCAAUAAAUAACUUUUUUUCCCCACGGGUGGUGUUUCUUGUGGGGAUCAGUGACUGGUUUAGGUUCACCCAAAAUGAGUUCAGACUAAAAUUGGUUUGAGUCAAUGCCGUGUCUCUUUUUUCCAGAAAUCAACUAUUUUAUGCAUUGAAUAAAUCAUACAAAGAAAAUAUGAACGCCCGCAAAACCUAAACCCUGGUUGCUAACUUUCUAUGUUUCAGUUCUAUUCACGCAAGAAUAUUAGUUUAAGUUUGGGAAAAAUGGCAACUUACCUAGUGAUUACUUGGUUUUGGUUUGCGACUAUUUACGCAACCAACCAUGAGUUUGACUUUAACGUCAUGGGUUGAAGCCUCCUACAGGAAGGGAGAAAGCUCCACAGCUAGCUCCAAAAGAGAAUUAUCACAUUGAUAGCUCCAGAGAUUCCCAAGGGGACUGAAUCAAAGACAAGUUCCUCACUUUUUCUUCUUUUGAGGCCAAAUAUGAACCAAGGAUCACACAACCUCAUUCAACUUCAUAAGUUUGAUUUCAUGCAGUUGAACACUGGGUGAAGGCCAUGACAAGAAUUGAUUCAAAAAUUCUAUCACUCUUUUAAGUAAUGGAAGAUUAUUAUCUCUGAUUGGCAUCACAACAGCACAUGCUCCUAGAUCUUUCUAGACACUCCAUGCAAUGAAAGCACAAUGGAUCUUGUAACGAUAGAAACUAAGCCAUGCUACAGUACUAGAUGAUGAGGUAAAACUAGUAGACACGGGUGGCAGCCUAUAUGGGAGGGACACAAGUCUAAUUGAUUUGCAUUUCAGCAUUAUAGAUAGGUAUGUUUUGGAAGAUUUGUUCUGGAAAUACCGCACCAAGUAGGAUUCUUUUUCUCUUUAGUGGGUCCACUUGCAUGCCAAUUAACGAGUUGAAAAGUAUGAGCACCUACCUCGUGCUCGUGGAACCGAAGGUCAGUGAAGUGGGGCUCCUUUUGGCCUCGUGUAAACUUGAUUCAGAAGUGAAGUUAAUAGUCUUCCAUUCAGAUGGAUACAUGGGAAUUUUUCUCUUUUAUUUAUUUAUUUAUUUUUUUUUUGUGUGUGUAUGUCAAAGGAUAAUGAAUGAAGCGCGUUAGCUUGUUUUCUGACUGGAACCGCAGAUGUCCAAAUUGGAGUUCCUUCAUUUCUUACUUAGGAUUGUUACAUGUAUAAACAAGGUAUAAGAAAUAUGCCAACGUGUCUUGAGGAGUUAUUGAUUAGAAAUAACAAGUCACCCGACUGUAGAGUUCCAAGAUUUGAAUCUUCAGACCCUAUAGCAGCCUCUGGGGUACGUGGCAUCCUAUAGCAUAUUAAUGAAGGCUUUUUCGAUUUAGACUUCACAAUACCAAUUAAUAUGUAUGCACAAAAUGGAGAUGACCCCAAAAAAAACAGAAUCGCCAUAGUUUAUGAGGUUAAGGUGAUUCUCCACUUAAUAUCUACAUUAGCUAAUUAUGUAAAUCAAAUGAACUUCUAUUUUUCCUUUUUUUUUUUGGUUUAUGUCAAAUAGUAGCCCAUAAUUAACCCAACCAUUAGCCUGUUUGAAUUGAUUUCACAUGCACAAUGUUGUAGUAGUUCAUAUUUUGAAUUUUAUUUUUACAAAGGUAGUUAAGGAAAAUGAAGUAUAAUAAUUAUAAAAGCAGACUAUAUACACUACAAUAAUUGUUAGAAUGGUAUCUCAAAUUCUAAUUUAAAAUAUUAUUUUUUGUAAAAGAAAUAUUAUAUAGAAUAUUUCCUAAUUUUAUAAAUGAUUAUAAUUAGAUCUUUAUAAAAUAAGGAAAGUUGGUAAGAAUAUCUUUAUAAAUAUUUUAGGUCAUGAGAGAAAGAAAUGGGAUAAAAAUGUGAUGAAGAGGUGAAAUAAGAGAGUUGAUUAGGAUAUAGAUGUGAAGAAGAAAGGGAUUCAAUAUAUAUAUAUCUUUCAAUUACCACAUUAAAACCCUGUGAACCUUUUAUAUGGUUUACUUUAUUUUUAUAUUCCUCCUUUAAUAUAUUUACAUUAAUGCUUCCAUUGGCACAACAAUAACGAAUUACAAAUACAAGCAACAAGUCCCAUGUUUUAUUACCAAAAGCAGGUAAAAUCCACCUAAUAUAUUACAAUAUAUUCAUCCAAUAUUUUAGACCAAUUCUUCACCAUAAAUAUCAUAAUGUGGCUUUUGUUCUUUCUUAAAUUUAAAUUGAAUUGUCUUAUAUCAAUUUGUUUGUGAUUUUUUCAUUAACUUCACUUUCAUUUGGUUAUCUUUGGUUUUUGAAAAGUAUUAAGGAAUUAAUUAACAAAAUAAUGUUAAGAAAAAUAAUUUUCUCUCUUUUGAUUUUGAUUUUGUAGUAGAAAAAUAUAAUUAAAAUUAUUUAAAAAGUAUGUAAUUUUAAAUUAUUUAAUAUUUAGAUAAAAAAAAUAAGUCUAAUGAGUUUAAAAUAACAUAUAAAAAUAAUUUAUUUAUUUUAAAUUUAUUUUUUAUUUUCCAUUAUGUUCUCUUUCUCUUUUACUUUUUCAUAUUUUUUCUUACGAAGAAUCAAACACAACCUCAUAUUAUAUGUCAAGUGUUUGUCUAUAUUUGAGCAAUGUUAGAUACGGCCAUGGAUUCAUCAAACUAAACUGAUUUUAAUAGAUACUUCACAAAUUGAUUUAUACACUAAAUCAUUGGAUAGCAAUGAUGCAUUGGAAUUAAACGUAGGAUGAAGCUCGAAGAACACUGUUUGUGUAACAACAUAUUUAUGAAAUUAUGCAAAGGAUGAGCUUCGGGGUAGUAGUACAAGGUCAUUAAUGGAGAGCCGUGUUAAACCUUGAUUGUGAUUGGAUUCCGUUAUCAGCAACAGCAACCUUGUUUGUAACCUUGAAAGUCAUUCUGUCCACAUCGAAACUCCAAUUUGACGUUUGUAAUUACCAUUCCUGGAGUGUUCCUUGAUUGAAAUUUAAAUAAUAAUUGCGGCCCACAAGGAAUAUUUUCGAUUCUGUGGGAAUUUGACAAGGUUUGUUAGAGAAGACUGGUGACAUGUUGACUUCAAUGGUUCAAAUAGGAGACGUAUGUGGAUUUGGGGGGUUUAAUUGAAACUGAGUCCCUAUGGCUUUUUAAUAUUUGCAUUGAGCAGUCUCCAUGUGACUUCCUAAUUCCCACCAACCCUCCUGUCCAUGCUGUGAAACUAAAUUGUAAUUUAUCAGCCUUUGUCAAUGGUUUCUAAAUUAAAGAUAUAGACCAUGCAUGUACUUUAAUAAAAGCAAAUCUAAAGUGUAGAUAGCAGCAAUGGUGACACCCAAUAUUCUCCAUAAAAUAGAAUUAGAAUAAGCAGUGUUACAUUGUUCAUGAUCACCUACAAGCAUACAAGAACUUCCAUGAAUAACUCAUAGCAAUUGCCAACAGGGCGUCGUAGAGACUCAUACAUAGAACACUAUCCACCCAGAGGAAAGGACAAGACCAGUGCGCUGCAGCUCUUAUUUUUCACAUGUAUACCACCACUCGUAAUAACCAAAUUCACUCAGUUGGGAUAGGUGGGAGAUGGUGGUUUGUGGGGUGGCUUGUGGGGAGGAGUUGGAGGAGGCUUUAUUUUCUGAGGCGGCUUGUAUGAGUGUGCAGGAGGAUGCCCGGGAGUGUGACCAUAAUGUGGUGGCUUCUCUCCCGUAGGUGGUUUGCCAAAUGGGCUUGGUGGCUUCUCUCCCUUAGGAGGUUUACCAAUUGGGGUUGGUGGCUUGUGUUCUGGGAGUGGUUUCUCUCCCUUGGUAGGUUUGCCAAUUGGGGUUGGCGGCUUAUGUUCUGGGAGUGGCUUCUCUCCCUUGGGAGGUUUGCUAAUUGGGGUUGGCGGCUUAUGUUCUGGGGGCGGCUUCUCUCCCUUGGGAGGUUUGCCAAUUGGAGUUGGCGGCUUAUGUUCUGGGAGUGGCUUUUCUCCCUUGGGAGGCUUGCCAAUUGGGGUUGGCGGCUUAUGUUCUGGGGGUGGCUUCUCUCCUUUAGGAGGUUUGCCAAUUGGAGUCGGCGGCUUAUGUUCUGGAAGUGGCUUUUUUCCCUUGGGAGGUUUGCCAAUUGGGGUUGGCGGCUUAUGUUCUGGGGGUGGCUUCUCUCCCUUGGGAGGUUUGCCAAUUGGAGUCGGCGGCUUAUGUUCUGGGAGUGGCUUCUCUCCCUUGGGAGGUUUUGUUGGUGGCUUGUGUUCUGGAGAUGGCUUCUCCCCUGGAGGCUUGUGCUCCGGAGGUGGCUUCUGAAAUGGCGGGGGCUUGGGGUAAUGAGCAAGAGAUGGAGUACUGGUGAGAACCACCAUUCCAAGCAACAAUACUAGCAAGCAUGUGGGAGACAUCUUUGAGUAGUUGUAGCUAAGAUGGCGCAACACUGUAGGCAUUGGGUGGCCUUUUAUAAAGGGCUGGACCCAACAGCCAUAUGACACGUGUCAUGAUGACAAAUGAAGUUGAGGGGAUCCAGAUGGGUCCUACUGAGUCGAAAACUUGCACUAAUUGAUCUGGUGAGAUGACUAUUUCUGUCCUUUUGCCCUUCUCGGCCACCCUGUGCUGUUUUCCUUUUGCACGAUUUUCGUUGCCAAACAAGCAAAUAAUAUUUCGCCAAGAAAGAGGAGAGUGAAUGUGGAAUGCAUCAAGUCCCAUCAAGGAUGGCAGAGAAGAAAUAGAAGAUUGCCCAACUGUGAUAAACAUAGCAUACACGUAGCACCAGGAACUUCAUUUACUUCCAUCUAAUGGAACAUAACAAUCUUCUAAAGUUUUUGCAUGAUUUUGUUAUAUGUCUCUUAGCCUAAAGUUGGAAAUGCGCAACAAAUUUUGUCACUUCUCUAUUUCCCACUGAUGAUGUUAAUUAGCCUUCAUAGAUAUCAUCCUUUCUACAAAGUGCUUCAUUUGUGUGUUAUUGUAAAGUGUAAGAAAAGUAAUUGAACAUGUUCUUUUUCCUUUCAUAGAUGACUUUUGAUGUGCAUUUUAAAAGCAGCGCUGUGAGUCGGUGACCUUGAUUCACACGGAAACUAAGGCUCCUAUAGGACCCACUUUUAGCUGGUUAGGGGUGAAGAAAAUAUCAACUUUUCAGAGUGAUUUAAGUCAAGGCCAAGCCUCACUGUGUCAUUACUCGUGUGAAUUUUAUAUGCACAUACAUACAUAAAUAAAGUAUGAGACCCAAAUAACACCUUCCCUUUACAAACUUAACCCCAGCCGCUCUCUUUCAAUUCUUUUCACACAAGGGUAUUGACUCUAUAAAGGUCAAGAAAAUCAUAAUUUCCUAGGGUUUACAAGGUAAUUGGCUUAAUGCUAAUGUGAAAACAUAAAAGAUAAUAGUAUAUUGUAAGCUAACGAAUAUUCUAUAGUUAUAAUUAUUUGUGAUGUGCAUAAAUAAAUCUUCAUAUAUAUAAUGGAACAAUGAAUAAAGAACCAAUGAAAAAAUACUAUAUAUCAUUGCUUGGCAUUUAAACCGUAUAUGCUGCUCUUUCUAGCUACUCCAUCCACUGAAAGACAACAAGGUAAUCCAUGUUAUAAUGAUAGAAGAUACUGUCUCUAGGCUUUUUGUGAUGAAAAAUAUAAGAUAUGGGUAGGGUUGACCCUUGUAUGUUUGUCCUAUAAACACUUCAAAGUAACAUAUUUUUCUUCUUUAGCAACUCAUAAUGAUGGGGUUCAUUUGCAUGUCACUGAGUUGAAAAGUUGGACAAUUGCCCAUGUCGCCUUCCUCCUAGAUUCCGUAGUUCACGGGAAGGUAACUCAAGUUUGACAUAUUUUGAAUUCUUUUCACUCGGACGUCUUCAUAACCUGACAAAACAAAAAUGAAAAACAGAGGAUUGGUAUAUUAUUCAUGGUAAGCCUCAAAUUAUAGUAGUAUGAGAAAGGAGAAAAAGAUUUUGGGAACUCCAAUCUGGAUAAUUCUCGUUUCUUCUCUUGAAUAAAAAUUUCACUUACCUAACUUCGUUUGGAGAAAUGGCAUAUUUUAAUUUUGUACGUCAUUGCUAAUAAAUGGAGCAAUUUAGCAUGUUUUGUGACUGAAACUGCAAAUGUCCAAUUGGCAUUUCUUCAUUUCCCACUUAGGAUCUGAUCUUGUAGACCAUAUAACGAUAUGUAUCUGUGCAAGCAUUGAAAACUAAUGUGAACUAUGAGGAGUUACAAGCCACUGGACUGUAGAGCGAGUGCCAAGAUUUAAAUCUUCAGGCUCUAUCUGGGUAAGGGGAGGAUAGCGACCUAACCUUUUACCAAAGGCUUAGAAUUUAGACUUUUGGAAAAAAAUUUCUCAUGUUUUGGCUGGAUUUCUUGUGCUUGGCGCAAAAAGGAGAUGGCCUCAAGAAAUAGCAGACUCACUUUUGUUUUCAGCCCUUAAUAAUUCUCCACUGCUUUCCAUAACUACAUGGGUUAUACAUGCAGUCUGCUGCAAUAUUCCAGUUAUAUUUAUUAUUUCAAAGAGGGUGAAUGACUUCACAUGCAAUAUGUUGCAGUAACAACCCAAAUUUUGGCACACCAUCUUAAGAAUAGAAAAGUAUAAUAAAAGAAAUCAAUCAGAGAAUCACUUUGCAUGCAGUUCAUAGAGUUCGCCCAAAAUGGAGCCACAUGUACGGACAACCCCACAAUAGACAAUCUUCUCUAUACAGUAAUAAAAUACAGAAAUGGUUAAUGAAGCUCUGUAUUUCCUUAUCAUAUAUGACCGGUUGAAAACUCAGCAAGUCUUCCUCAAUCACAGACAGUUGGAGUUGCUUCAUCAAAAUCAUGCCUUCAUUACUGGCUUCAUUUUGGUUUCAAUGUCUGUUCUACCCUUAAAUUGGGUCUCUGCUUACUACCGGGAUAUCCUUUAGCGUCCUGCAAUUCUACUAGAUUAAAGAGAAUGACUUAAUUCUGCAUUCUGCCGUCCCUAGUCCAAGUGGUACUAGAAUUGAUGUUUCCUUUAGUGUCCUUUCUUCAUACUUUCAGGUUCUUCCCUUGUUUCAAUAAUGCUGUUUUCCUUCAUGUUUAACCUCUGUUGAACCACUUAAAACAACACAAUUUGCACACCAAUGUUUCUUUACAGAAAAGACUGUUUGCAAAAAUGCACAUGUUAUAAGGUUAAUGGAAGAAUUAAUUUGGGGAUAAGGGACUAGGAUUGGGCCAAUGAAGUUUGGUGUUAAAUUUUGAUUAUGAUUGCUUUUCAUUAUCAGGUACCUUAUAUUUGCUGAUGCUAUCUGGAACUAAAUUCAAAUCAGACAUUAUCCGAUUACUAACAGGACAUAUCAUGUCCCUCUGCAGAGUUUCUAAACUAACAUGUAUCGAAAUGUGGCCCCAAAAGGAAGGCUAGGAAGAUGGAGGAUUUUGUAGGAAUCGACCAGAAUCAGAUGGAAGAGAGAUAGUCCUGUUGACUUUAAUGGUUGUGAUAGGAACAUGCAUCAUUAUAUGAGAAGUUGCAUGAAUUUAUGUAUCCUGUUAUCGUUCCUUGACGAUUUCCCAAUGCAAUUUCACUGUCCACAAGACUAACCUCUCCAUGCAGUCAAAUGAAUUGUAAUUUCUCUAUUGGUACCAGUAGUACAUUUCAUACCAAACAUAUAGUAAAUAUAAAAUAUAAAUAGAUCAAGGAAAUCUGAAUUGUAGAUAGCACUGCAAGUAACACUCAAUAUUCUCUAUAUAUAAUAAAAUAAACAGUGUCACAAUACUCAUCACCCAGUGGCAAGGGAGAAAAACCUACAAUGAGUACUCAAAUCACCAUUCUCAAACAGAAACAUAGCAGUGACUGAUACAUAGAACCUAUAUGCUCACAGGGAAAGAAUAAGAUGACCAGUGCACAGCGGGCAGCAGCUCUUAUUUUACGUACAACUCAAAUCCCAAACUAACCAAAGUCGCUCAGUUGGGAUGGGUGGGAGAUGGUGGUUUGUGGGAUGGCUUCUGGGUAGGAGCUGGUGGCUUCUGUCCCUUUGGUGGUUUGCCUAAUGAGCUUGGUGGCUUGUGCUCCGGGAGUUGUUUCUCUCCCUCGAGUAGGUUUCGAGUCUUGUCAGAUGGCUUGUGUUCUGGUGGUGGCUUCUCUCCCUGGGGUGGUUUGCCGAAUGGGCUUGGUGGCUUGUGUUCGGGGAGUGGCUUCUCUCCCUGGAGAAGGUUACGAGUUUUGUCAUAUGGCUUUUGUUCUGGUGGUGGCUUCUCUCCCUGGGGUGGUUUGCCGAAUGGGCUUGGUGGCUUGUGUUCGGGGAGUGGCUUCUCUCCCUGGAGAAGGUUACGAGUUUUGUCAGAUGGCUUGUGUUCUGGUGGUGGCUUCUCUCCCUGGGGUGGUUUGCCGAAUGGGCUUGGUGGCUUGUGUUCGGGGAGUGGCUUCUCUCCCUGGAGAAGGUUACGAGUUUUGUCAGAUGGCUUUUGUUCUGGUGGCGGCUUCUCUCCCUGGGGUGGUUUGCCAAAUGGGCUUGGUGGCUUGUGUUCGGGAACUGGCUUCUCUCCCUUGGGAGGUUCAGUUGGUGGCUGCUGUUCCGUAGGUGGUUUCUUCACCGGCGGCUUGUGCUCCGGAAGCGGCUUCUCUACCU